GUCAUUCAGAAAUUAUAUGUCAACAUACCUCUGCUCGAUGCCAUACAGGUACCUACAUUUGCAAAGUACAUCAGAGAUAUUCUUAACAAGAAGAGACCACUGCCCACCACUGAGGUUAUCAAGCUGACAGAAGAAUGUAGUGCGGCCAUCCUCAAUAAGCCACCAAAGAAGAAAGAAGAUCCCGGAUGUCCCACUAUUGAUUGCUCGAUCGGAAACCAACACUUCAACAAUACACUUUGUGAUCUCGGAGCAAGUGUCAGUGUGAUGCCAACAUCAGUCUACAAAAAGCUUGAUCAUGCAACCUUAGAACCAACAUCAAUGUGCCUACAACUAGCGGAUCAAUCGGUUCGACACCCGUUGGGCAUCGCCGAGAACAUUCCAGUCAAGAUCAGAGAUUUCCUUGUGCCAGUAGACUUCGUAGUACUGGACAUGAGUCCUGACUCAAAAGUGUCCAUCAUCCUUGGAAGGCCAUUUCUGAGCACUGCCAAUGCCCACAUUGAUGUCGGAAAAGGAGAAAUCAAGUUCAACAUAAACGGUCAAGAAGAACACUUCACAUUCAAACCCAGACCAGAGAGAGACUCUACAGUGAAGGAAGUUCAUGAAGAACCACUAGGAACACCAUCUCCGGAGGAAGGUAACUCAGAAGAUUAAAAGAUUUGGAGGUCCAGCUUGGGGGACCUAAAAAUCCCAAACCCUCACCGGGAGGUAAAUCGGUAUUUACCUGCAUUAUUAAUUUUCUCAUAUUUAAAUUCUUGCAUAAUUAAUUCUUGCAUUAGUCACAUAUAUUCAUAGCAUGAUUAUAAGCCCCAUAUAAAUAAUAUUCGUGGUGUGUAACAACCCAUAUUUAUUAAUUAUUGUGGAGGCACAAAAAUAUUUUCCAUUAUCAUUUUCAUUAAGUUUUAAUUCUCAUAGAUUUUCCUGCAUUAUAUUUAUUUAUAUUGAUCUUCUAGAAGCAUGACCCACACUCUUUGGGUCCCACAUGUCAUACACUUCACCUCACAUACAUCCCAUCACAUAAUUUCAUCCACCAAUAUGUUUCCACUCACUUAACAUCUUUCCACCGUCCAACCACUACCAACACAAUAUUAUUCUGCGUGAGAUCAAAGCAAGGAAGCAUGUGGAGGAGGCACACCCAGGAUGGACACCAGGGGUGGGCGCCUGCCCACCUACCAAGGGCGCCCGCCCUGUCCCCUGCUCAGCUUAUAAAAGGCCACCUCCAGCUCCCCUUCUCUUCACACAAACACUCCAGAAAACCACACAAGUUUCAGUUUCCCAAGAAGGAGCUCUUGUAGUGAAGAGAAGAGAGUAGAGAGAAAGUGGAGAGUGGAAGGGAAGGUUGGAGUUCUUUUGAGAGAGUGAUUAUCACCUAGCAAGUAGUGAUCCCGUUGUCUAAGCGGAAGUAAAAGUUGUUUAGGGGGAGGCUCUACCAAAAUAGAAAUUUGUCUUGAACGAUUAACCCCUGGACUACUGACACUCCGGACAGCUGACCACUAACAUUUUAUCUCACAUUUUCCACUAGUUGUGUUUUGGCCAACUUUUGUUUGCAGGAUGUUUAAGAAGGUGAAGAAUGCAGGGAAGGCUCUCAAGAACAUUGGUACAAGGAGUUCAGCCCGACACUCCUCACAGCCAUUAGAGAUGAGCGUCGACCCGACACCCACACAAGCUCCAUCAUCUUCAUUAGGCCAGCAAGUCAAGGUCCUUCUCAAGAUAGGAGACCUUGGACUGAAGACCCGAAGAGAGAAGGAAGUUCAUCAGCAAUUGAAGAACAAAGAUUUCAUUCACACCCCUACUAUCGAUCCAAUCCUACUACGAGAAACAGGUAUGGACACUGAAUUCGACUUAAUUUUUCAGAUGAUGGGUUGCACAAAUUUUUGGAAUAUAACUGAGCUGGGUUCUCGUCUUCUCACCCUCGAAUUUCUUUGCACCUUACAAUAUUAUGAGGGGGGAAUUGUUUUUCGGAUGUUCAAACAGGAAAUUAUGUUGUCUUGGAGAGAGCUGAGCGACCAUCUUGGUUUCUCUUCAAGAUGCAUCCUGAACAUUGACUCCGAUUUACCCAACUUUGAGAGACACCAGUUUUGGAGAGAAAUAUCUAGAGAUAAUUUUUAUAGUCAAGCCCGAACCAGUGAUAUGGAACACCCUACUCUUAGAAUGUUCCACAAAUGGCUUGGGUACAAUCUUUUCUAUCGUGAUGAUAUUAGGAAAGUAAGAGUAGGAGAUUUACAACUUUUAUAUGCUGCUAUUAGUAAAGUACCCACUUCACCUAUUACACUAUUAGUUUCACAUUGGCUUAGUAUACCUAGUCUUCAGGGACCAGUAGGAUGUACAUCACUUAUCACUCGUCUAUCCUCUAAUCUUCACUUACUAGAAAACUCAUCAUUGGACUUCAUAGAAGAAUUAAGAAUUUAUCAUGGCUAUGACACAUUUAGACAAGCUCGGAUGUUAAAGAAAGAGGGAAAUAUAAUGUAUAUGCUAUAUGAUGAUAAAGGCAAGAUUCAGUUACCUAACCCGAACCUUGGCCUCUACUCUGUGCAAAACUUUUUGAUUGAGAUUGCAGCAACACCAGUAAACCAGAGAACUCCACAGCGAGUGGCAUCUGAAAGGAUAACCACUCACCGAGAACGCACUUGGUAUGGAGCUGACUCUGGACCAGAAGAAGCAGCGCACCUGCAUUAUUGCGAUUACAACCCUCGAGUCCUUCGAGACCCAUGGGCUCGUCAUGCGCAACCACAAGAGCCAACAGAGGAGACAUGGCCAGAAAGCCAAGAUCACCAGUGGACAAACCCGCCUUUUCAUACGGGCAGGUACUCCACUGAUCCAUAUGGAGCUUCAGGAUCCAGACCUCCACCCCAAUUUGAUGCAGGACGAUACUCCGACGCCUCCUACGCCUUCACGAAUGACUACUAUCAAGAGGCCGGUGCUUUCUUCACUCGUACCGACAACACCCUCCUCGACAUCUAGAACACGCAAGCAGAACAUGGAAGACUCCUGGAAGAACAACAAAAAUGGAACCAGGACCAUGCCGCUGCAGUGCAAGAGCUGAGACAAGAUACAACAACAAUGAACGACAACAUCACAACCAUGAUGCGGUUCUGGAAUAUCGGAUAAGACCGACGUCAACAUCCAGCUUGGGGGAGUUCCUCCCCAACUUAUCAAGUAAGUUUUUAUUUGCUUUUCUUAUUUAUUCUAUUCUGUCUUAGUAUUUAAUUUAUCUUAAAAGGAAAAAAUUUAGAAAACCAAAUAAAUAUUUUCUUGCUUUAAUUUACUGCACUUUAUAAACAUGAAAACAAAAUAAAAAGAGUGUGUAGAUAAGUGUGCUUUAUUUUUCUGCUAAGUUUAAUCUCUAGAAGAAAAUAAAAAGACCAAAAAAAUGCAUGAUGGAAAUGAUGAACAGUUGCUCUGUUUGCUUACUUACAAGUACCUAGCUUUUAUUAGAAUUCUUCCAGGAAUUACUAAAACUAAAAUUACUAUCUUUGGAAAGCAUAAAACUAAAGUCUAGAGUCUAGGUAAGAGAAAGGCAUGAUAUAAAGUUGAGCUACUGUUUAUCUUGUUUCUACUACACUAAGUUCUGGAGAUUUAUUUUGAAAACUUACAAAUCACAUGAUGAGUUCCUAGCAUAACAAAACUACCUACCACAGCCAUACUUGCUAUAACAUCUUUUACUAUAUUUACAUUGAGUUUGAUCGAGCUGUGUGGACCCUUAGGAGCUUUUCAUGUGGUUAAAUUAAGAUAUUCACUUGCACACAUCUACCACAGCAUUCAUCAUUUAUUAAAAUUGCUAAAAAAAAUAUAUAUUUUCACUCACUGUCCCAAGUAUUGUUAUUCUCUCUCUAAAAAGAUUCAAUGCAGAACAGGCAUGGGUUAUGCAAAAAUAUGCGAGGAAAUAAAAAGGGGCAAGUGCCCGGAACCUCGGAAAAGAAAGAAAAAGAGUGAGACGAGAGGUAAAAAUGGACAAGUGUCCGAAGUAGAAUUAGGGGUACAAAGAUGCCCACUUGAGCGGAAAAAAUAGACAAGUGUCCGACAGUAGAAUUAGGGGUAUCUACUACCCACCUGAAAAAAAAGGGAGAUAGCCCAUGUUCUCCCAAAGCAAAGAUCAAAGAGGAGGAGAGAUAGCAAUAUAAGGAGCAAUGAGAACUAAAUUUUAUCACUUAUGCAUUUUCACAAUCACUAUCAUUUACUCCAUCACACAUGCACAUCUUGAUUUAAUUAUAUGCUGAGUUCCUUUGGAUCCAUGGCUCGAUUAGACAACAUAUGUAUGAGCUGUUUUUCACUCCUAUGAGCUCCACUUAAAUAUUCUAUUAGCUAUAGGCAAGUGAUAUCAUGGUAAGGAUCCACAAAUACCACAUAUAGAGAGACUUGAGAGAAUCAUUGCUGGGAACUCUGAGUUUUAUUUUGAAAAAAAAACUUAUGAAAAACUCUGGAACAAAGGUGAAGUAUAGACAGGAGGAAUAGUGCUUGGCUUAAUUAUUUUGUCUUUCGAUUACUUAAGAUUUAAGUGCAGGUACUAAACUCCAUAACACUUCACUCUAAUCUGGAAGAAUUUUUAUGUAAAAGCAUGUGUGCCUGUCACGGAAGAAAACAUCGAAGCAACUCCUGAUCCGUCUGAGUUUAGCUGUUUGCUCAGGGACGAGCAAAGGGUAAGCUUAGGGGAGUUUGUUGACGGUCCUUAAGUACUAAAAUUAAUAAUCAAAUAAACAUGAAAAAGGAUCAAGAUGAAACAAACAUCUAGAAUUAGGGUUUUAUCUGACAGAAUUCCACGAGCUUUGGUGUUUAUCUAUUUCUGCAGGGGUUUAUCAGAAAAUAUGGAGAGAAGGCCCACAUGUCAUGUUUACAACGAGAUAAUUAUGUGCCGCGCAAUUUUCCUUGAUCUAGAAGGGUCCAGAAGCCACGGGAACGAACGGGAAGCGAUUCGGGCUCGGGGGCAGGGCGCCCGCCCACCCCCCUUGGGCGCCCGCCCAGGGUUGGAGGCCAAACAGGACUCUGCUUCGGGGCAAGGCUCCACCGACCUAAAGGAUCAAUCUAAACCAUACAAUCUAUGUCGGGGCCCCUGGAGGAGAGGAGGAGAAAUCAUUAUUCAGAGGUAGCCAUCAAAGUUAGGGUUUAGAGUUUCUCUCCCACAGAGAAUUAGAAUUAGCUACUCCCUAAUCCUUCAAGUUUAGAGGUUUGAUUAGAUAGCAAUUAGAGAAGUAGAGCACUACGCUCUGGAUUGGGAUCUUCGGUAAUAAAGAUUGGUAUUAUUCAUAUCUUUCUCUAAUUCUAUCGUUCUAAUUGCAUUAUGUCUUUAAUUAUUAUGUUCUUAGUUUGCUCUAGUUCUAUAUUUGAUAUAGUUCUAAUUGAUAAUGAGUUUAUGUAUAAGUUUGCAAAGCGCUUAGCUCUUGACGCGAGGGAGUUAGGUGAUAGAUCACAUGUGAGCGUGGUGCUUAGAUGUUAUUUAUCUGCAAAUGUAUCCUAUUGGCCGAGUCGUGUGGUAGUUCGCGAUAGUGACAGCUUCGUUGAUUCUUAUAUAGUCCACCCUCCGUUGAUAGGACAGGCAGAACCGGUAUUGUGGAGUAAGUCAUGCUAUGCUCUGAUUUACUUUAUCAGUGUUCCUUAUACAUAAAUGAAGAGUCUUUUAUGCUAUACAUGAUCUUGUAGAUAACUAGAGUAGAUUAUGACUUAGUAGUUAGUAGAUAACUUAGAAUCUAUUCUCUAGCUAAUCCGACAUCACCUACAUAUAUGAGGAGUAGUCUAUUUUCUAAUCGCUGUGCUCUUUAUCCCAUGAACUUAUACUUUAUUAUCAUUAUCUUUAUGGUUUACCCCCUGCUAAAGUAAGUGACUGUGUGACGAGUUUCUCAUUAGUAAUCAUGUUCUUGCAAAUUUAUCUCUAGUCUAUGCCUUGAUAGAUUUUGCCCCUUGAUUUAAUUCCAUCUUCUUGAGAUCCCUUGAGCAAAAUUAUAAAUAACGAUACCUGGAAUACUUAUCCUGGUGAAAUGCUACAAUGAGGUGUUUUAUCUGUGCGCUUGCGGAUAGAAUAGAUUAUUUUCUAGAGAGCCUUUACAUUUAUAAAUACCUUUGUACACUCUGGCGCCAUGCUAGGGAUGACAACCUAGUAUCUAAGUGGUGUUAGCUAGUGUCAACAAGCAUUUCUGGCGCCGUUGCCGGGGAACUUAUAGGAUAUUAUACGAGUCUCAGGAAUAAGUCAUAAAAGGGAACAAAAGGGUAAUACUUAGGAAAGCCAGAAAAUCAGUCAAGGUUAUUCAUAUAAAAUAUUAGACUAGACUAUAGAGAAAUAAUUGCAUAAAAACAGCUACUAAUUGAGAAAUCAUAACAAGGCACCUCUGCUUUGGCAGGUUCACCCUGUUGUUUUUCUAUGUUUAUAUUUUUAUAUAGGGAAUCUCAGGAUUGACCUUGGGUACAUUCAACUCUUCAUCAUCAGAACCAAAGCAAUCAAGAGAAGAAGAAGCUAGCUACCAAUUGCUGAAGCUGUGGCACAAAAGACCUUGCAAGAAUUCUCUGCUCCAAGCCUUGAGAACAUUCCAACUGGUCCAAGAUUUGCAGUGGAAGAAGGAAUACCUGAGUUUGAGCUCAAGUCAAGCCUCAUCAAUUUGGUACAAGCUACACAAUUCAGUGGAAAGGCACAUGAAGAUGCCAGUGCACACUUGCAGAAUUUCUUAGAGAUUGGAAGCACAAUCCACAUCAACGGAGUUGACAAAGACGUCAUACUGCUUCGCCUCUUUUUGCAGUCUUUCGAGGUCUAUUAGAUUGAUUGUUUUGCCUUGUUUGUCGCUUACGAGGCAGUUGCUUCGGUUAGCGUUGAUUGGAUCAGAACCUAUCAUAGGAAGAACAUGUGGAUGGAAUGACCUUAGAUGAGAAUGACUACAAGUGCACUGUGAAUCUCGGCAAUGGCAUCCAACAGGUGCCACGUCCCACCCAACCUCGUAGAACCCUAUUAGACAUGCAAAUAUAGAUGCUAGUGCUUUACUUUUAUGCAAAUGAACUGUGAUAGGUUGCAUGGUAGUUUUGCUUGUGAGCUAUUACCUUCAUGCAACCUAUAACCCUUGUACACCUGCUAUUAGGUUAGAUGUUGCAUACUACUUGCUACUGCUUCUACUAUGCAUUAUAUCUGUGAUGUGAUGCAUUGUGGAGGAUUGGAUGUGAGUGGAUAAGGCACGCGGAUGCCGAUAACUGGAUAAGGAAUGGAUAAUGGACUUUGGGAGAUCUUGGCGUGUGUCUUGGGUGUGUAGUGAGGGUCGAGUCGACCGAGUAGGAUCUACGACGAGUCUUGAGACAAGUCUUGUCGGGGAACACUACCUGGGCGUUCUCCAAGAGAGAUACCUAUGGUGGGUACAUGUGAUAGGGAGAGGUCCCCAAGUGGAGUGUCUUUGUGGGACGAAGUGCCGGGAUGGGAGGUGCUGUUUAGAACGGGGUAGGCGGAUGACAUGUUGAGCAGGGCAUCAGUUGGCCCCUCAUGAAGAUGUCCUAUUUGGUCACCCUAAGGACUGUUAUGUUCUAUGGACCGGGUCUCAGGAAACCUUACACGCCACUCGCCCUUACCAUGGAAACGAGAUGGAUGUACGACCAGCUAGGGCGGUGCCACAACUACUAGGUGGUUAGCAGAUAGUGUAGGAAUGUAUGAGCAUGAGGAUCCACACCCUCCUAAGACAAUGUAGUGACCUUUGGGAGCCUAGUACUAUGUCUCACAGUCUCAGCAUGCCAGUGGUACUCUGGUAUGGCCCUAGUUCUGAGUGGUAGUGUGGCAUCAUAUUUAGUUGGAAUGCAUGCCAAAAUCUGCCUAGACGGGGGCCACCAUCGAUGAUGGUGAUCUUGUGGUUAGUGUAAACCUCUACAGAGUUUUGGUUGAUCGAUCGAUACAUAUGCCGAUUCUUUGGCUAUGGACCUUUCCUAAGUAAAGCUUCACUUGACUAGUGAAAGGAGUCCUUUCUACCUUCCCCUGGGUGUGUUGUUGGAUUCGGCAUUGGGCUUACUGCCUAGAGAGUGAGAGUGUGGAGACAUGUGUGGAAUGGGAUGGAAGGAUGUGUGGAUGAGAUGGAUUAAAACUUGAUGAAUUGUUAUUAUAAAAAAUUAUUGAACUUGCAUAGGAAAACUACAGCCAUAUAUAUAGGCCUUUUGAUAUACCCUUUGCAUUUCCACCUACCACAAAGCAACGCAAAAGCAUAGGGUGGGAGCUAGUGGCUAGUAGAAAUCAUACUAAAAAUUGUUUAGGAGGUUUUGGAUGUGAUCUACGAUGUGAUCUACAAACAAUAGAAGCAUUAGGUGUGUUGACGGUUCUUAAGUAUCAAUUUUAAUUAUCAAAUAAACAAGAGAAAGGACCAAUAUGCAAACAACACCUAGAAUUAGGGUUUGAUCUGAUAGAAUUCCACGAGUUUUGUUGUUUAUCUGUUUCUGCAGGGGGUUAUCAGGAAAUAAGGAAAAAAGGCCCACAUAUCGGGAUUACAUAGAGAUAUUAACGCACCGCAUAAUUUUGUACCAUCUAGAAGACUCCAGAAGCCACGGGAACGAAGCGGAGGCAGAACGGGGCCUCGCCUAGGGUGCCCGCCCUAGAGACCAGGGCGGCCGCCCCCCUUUGGAGUCCAAUCAGGACUAUCUUCACGGAUCACGCUCCACCGACCUAAAGGAUCAAGGAUAACCGUUCAAUCAAUGUUGGUUGGAUCCAACGGCCCAUGUUCACCUGAGCGGACUAUAUAAGCAGACCCCCUGGCACCUGGAGGAGAACAAGUUCAUCAUAGAGUUGAGAGGAGCCCUUGAAGGAAUACCUCUCCUCUAAAUAGACUUAGGGCUUACCAUCCAAUGUGAGUAGAAUUAGUUCUUCUAAGUUCUACUAGAUUGAGAGAGAUAGAGUGGAGGUGUAGAUCGAAGGAAGCCCGACCUGUCGGUGUCUACUCCGAGGUUGUAGCUACGGUAUCAAGCUCUCCUAACCCGAAGCUUGCUCCUAGGAUUCUUCAGUAUUUCGACUUCUAAAUUCUAGUAAGUUCUUGUUUUAUUGUUCUUUGGUUUAUGAGUUUACUUUAAUCUCUUCGCGUAGAGUUUAGAGUAAUCAUCUCUAGCGUAGAUGUGGUGUUUGGGCUAGGAUACUCAUAGAUUUCCCCUGACUAGCUGGACCGUGGUAGUAGCGAGGAACGUGACAUUUUCAAGUUACCUUUGCAGACCAUAUCUCGUUAGCAGGAAGGAUAGGGUUUAUAGGUAUGGGUUGAACAUCCUCUGUGGUGUCUAGAUUCCGUAAGCUCCCCCAAUAGAACAGUAGAUCAUCCUUACCAAGGUUAGAAAGAGAUUACGGUUGUAGUCUUCUCUAUAUAUCACUCACAUCGAGAAACAUUCUUUGUAGCCUAAAGGUUAGUAGUAAUAGACUGGGUUAGUCAGAUGCACUCUUUCUCCUAGUGGUAAAAAUAUAAAUACGAUACUCUGGAUAACAUCCCGGGUGAAGUGCUCACCGAUAUCCGUGCGCUUGUGGAUCAAUUCCUUAUUGCGUUCCCAAAUAUCAACAAGGUGGUCCCAUUCCUACGCUCAAGUUUGGUUCAGAGAUGAAGGCUACUCCCGCUAACAACUACGCCGACUCUGAUGAUUGCCCGUGAAGGAGGAGCCUUCACCACUAACAUGCUACAUCAACUCUGAUAAAGUCCCACAUGUGUUUCCACUAGAAAAACGAUGUAAUAGGCUUGUUAACCAAGAGUUGUAAAGUAAAUGUGUUGUAAUCUUGUUUUCCACGUUGUAUGACUAUGAUAACAGCUGAUAUAUGAUAAUGUGAUGGCUCAAUUUCUGAAUUAUCACAUUAUAAUUUGAAUGUGUGGAUUUUCCCCUUUGUGGAAAAAUCUUGGUCGUUUCACUUGGUGGCCUAUGUGGUGGUGCUUAGGAGCCCUCUAACUCACAUAUGCUUGAUAGUGAUCAUCCAAUUGUGUGAGUGAGCGAUUCUAGUGCGAUUGCAUGGUGAGGUUGCAUCGAGUGGCACUAGAUGUUUAUGUUGCAAGCUGGUGGUGCUUGUUACUCUAGGAGGUUGCCACCUCCUAGAUGGCUUGGUGGCUUGUGGCUCUGUGAAAGCACACAAGGAGAUUAUGUGGUGCUCCAAAGAAGAGAUAGUGAGGGGCAUUGUGCUUGCCCCAUGGGGAUCGUUAAGAGAAACUCUAGUUGAGUCUGUCAUUGAGCUACACACUUGCGGUAGAUUCUUGUGGUGCCCUACGUGAGGGCUCGGUUUGUGGGAAUACUGAUUAGUCGCCGAACCACGAAGUGUUGGUCGACACAAUGGGGACGUAGCUUGGUGGCAACCAAGUGAACCUCAAGAGAAAAUCAUCAUAUCAAUAUUGUUCUUACCGUUAGUUUGCAAGUCCCUAACGUAAGCUAAUAUUUACAUUUAUAUACUUGUGCUUAUGUAGUUGCUCUUGUAAUUAGUUAGCUUAUGUAGCUUGCUAGUUACCUUAUUGCUUGUGUAGCUAGAAGUAGUUCAGGUGCAUGGCUAAUUUGGUUUAUGUAACCUUGUUAGUCACAUUGCUUAGUUUGUGUAGCUAAGUAAGUUGCGCUCUCUAAUUUGGCAUUAGUUGCCUUGUUAUUGAGCUUGCUAGUAAACUAAGGAGCUUUGUGCUUUUGCUUACUAGUUGUGUAGGGCUCCCCCGAUUUGUAAAGUACUAGUGGCAUAGGUUUGUGUGACCUUGUUCCUAGAAUUGGUUAGGUGAGCUCUUGCUAAGGUAGCACCUUGUUUGCUUGUUUAUGAUCUUUUACAAGGUGCUAGAUAACUUAGAUAGAGGGGCGUAGUCUUGGAUAGGCGCGAUAAGUUUUAGAAAGGGCUAUUCACCCCUCUAGUCUGCCAUCUUAACCCUUCACACCUCCUCUACUAAAUGUCCCUUCUCCAUGUUCGAGAGGCGAACAUUGACAUCGCUGAGCUGCAUGUGAACAGUGAUGAUCUUGGCGAGCAUGUCCUUGGAGAAGUCGGCAAAAAUAUUUUGGAUAUCUCUACUAUAUCACCCAUUGCAGCGGCGUGGGGAUCAAACUGGUCUUCGGAUACCAGAUGUAUAGUCAUGUGCCGAGGGGUGGCCGGUGGUGUGCAGGCAACGGCGCCUAGGGCAGAGGGCGGCGACACUAGGUGGCUUGGGCGGCGCACAGGUGAGAGAGAGGGCGGCGCGUGUGGGAGAAGAGAGAGAAAUACAUAAAUAGGUUUGACUAGUCUAUUACUUGAUUCAUUUGGUUACAUAUCCCUAAGUAUUUAUAGUCCUCACGGGACUUGACUCCCAAGCAAACUAGGAGAUCCUUAGCAAACACAGAUUCUCCUUUCCAUCUAACAAACUUGAGCCCCUGACUUAACCGACUCUUUCUAAAAACCAACUAAGACUUUGUUGGUGCAAAAGUGGAUCUGCAAACACAAAGGGCUAAUACCCGAUUCAAUGUUAAGGCGUGCCAGCCGAUUUGACCUUACAAUCGACAAAGGUGAUAACUCGAACACUUUGGUCCGGACAACAGCGAUGCGCCCAGAUGCCAUGGCCAAGAGGUAUUCACACGGAACUUGAGAACUCGUUGAGAUUGACUCGAUGAAUUCCUAAGAACUCAUAAGUAGAAAGAAAAUAUAUAGGGUGACAAAGUCGUCGAAAAAGUAGAUGCUGGAAUAGAUGUAAAAACUUGUGUUUGAUUGAUUGUGUAUAUCCAUUACAUUGCCACAGGGUCUACAUUUAUACUCUGUCCAAAAGAGUUACAACCAGACACGACUAGGACUUGAAUUCUAAAUUGAACGGAAUCCAUAUGCAAAGCAAACUCUAAAAAACUAUGGAAAACAUUAAUCUUCCACCAAAACCGAUCGGCACACCAUCACCAUCUGACCAUCGAUUCCUACGCCUCCUUUUGUAUCCAUCGGCAAAUCACCUUCCGUAGCCAUCGACAACCAUCUACAUUAGUCAUCGGCAUAAACCCACCACUGCUCCCAGACUUGGCUUCAUUCUGUUGUUUCGUCAUCGGUAUCAACCUUCAUCGGCAACUCUCCUGUCAACCAGCCACCACUUUAUUCGCCUGCCAAUCUAUGCCUUAUUAACUCUCAAAUACGCGUCUAGAGAUACGUGUCCAAAAACGGUGUCAACACAUGCCCCCCAAUUUCGGAGUAUAAAACCAUUAAUGCUCCAAAAUUCUCUCCAAUAAUGUUGCCUUUCCGCAAUUACUUCUUCCUGUCAGUCCAGUCUGACGAAAUCCAAACAACCUCAGCCCAGUCUUCCAGCACGUACCUCGAAUCUCUCAACUUCUCGAACCGAAUCCCCCUAGUAUACGUUCAUCGGCAACAUUUCCGUUAGAGAAGACUGCCGAUGAGCCAACCAGAAGAUCUUGCACAGUAAUAUAUCUCCAAAAUCAUGACCGCUUGCAGUCAAAUCACCUGCACAAUCCCUUGAUUUCCGUGCGAACAGUUACCAUAUCCACCUGAACACCCUCGGAUUUCACGGAUAAGGUGAAGAGAUCAGUCAAAAUUGCCCCUGCCCUCUUUGUCCUAUAAAUACUUCCUUCUCCGGUACUCUUCCUCCAUCUUGUCAUUCUACAUCCUCAAACCCACCUUCCUGGCGGUGGCAUUGUUCGAGAGAUUCAAGAACUCUGGCAAGGAUCUCCUCCAACAAUCUUCCGAGUCUUCGAUCCCUUCCUCCUCUCGGGAAGAAAUGGCCAUCAACUUCAUCGUCCCUGAGAUCAAUUCAGCAUCCCCUUUCUUCUUUUCACCAUAUUUUUGAUCUUUCGCGCAGUUAUUUACUUGGUAUUUUCUCUCUUUCUCUUCCCUGUUUUUUCAACCUUCAAACCUUUAGGAAUUGGCCGAGAAAAUUGUUAUUCCAAUCGAUCAACCCCACUUUCAAUGCCUUGGUCCAUUGGGAAACCCAGAUCCUACCGAUUUGAUAAAUGCAGAAAAAAAUAGGAUCCCCUUUAUAGCUGAGAACUUUUCAUUAGAUCUGUGGAAAAACACCUUUCGAUACUAGCCUAGUUCUACCAAGGGAUGGAAAGACUGGUUCCUGAGAAUCGGCAACUCAAAUGAAGUCCAAUGGGGUGAACGCAAACUAGACCAGUGCAUUAGGUUAUCUAUUGCCGAUAUGGAGAGAAACAAAUCACUAUUGAUAGCAGCUUCAUAUUUCUGGUCGGAUACCCUCAAUGCUUUUGUGUUCUGCCAUGGCCCUGCCUCUCCGACCCUUGCCGAUGUACUUAUGCUCACUGGUCUAGAAAUAGCAACUGCCGAUGAUAGCCACCUGUUCGACAGUAAGCCUGAACGUAAAGUGCAAACUCGCAACAUCGGCGGCUGGUCAGGGUACAUUUAGAAGUACCGGAAAAUAGGACCAGUUGGGCAAAGGGAACAUGCCAUCUUUCUUAACAUGUGGCUAGAUAAAUUUGUGUUUUGCGGCCGAUCGGUAGGACCAACUUCUGUGUACCUAUCGGCAGCAAAGAAACUAGCCGGCGGUGGUCGCUUCCCCCUUGGCCGAUACUUGUUAGGCUCUGUUUAUCAUCUACUUCAUCAAGUAGCCGAGAAGCUUCUGUUAGGCCAACCAAUCGGCAACUUAGGAGGCCCUUGGUGGUUCAUCAAUAUGUGGCUCAGUGUUCACAUGCAUAAGCGCCUUGGAUUCGAACUCUUUGCACAGUGCUUUCCCAGAGAUAUCACUGAAGAUCAUGAACUGGCUGAUGAAGAAUCGGCAACUCGCCCACCCAUGAACUAUGGUGAGGCCGCUAUAGUCCUACCUGGUACUGGUGGCAAUGAAGACCAGGUUAGCCAAUUCUUCCAAACUCUUUAUGAGGGUCUUGCCAAAGAUCAGCGGGCAUGGAUGCCUUAUGAAGAUCCAGAAACCAGAUUCCCGCUCACUUUUCACGCUUUUGAUGACACUCUCAACAAGGACCAUGAUCUGAUGAUGGCAAUUAUCACUCCAAGAGACAUACCAGUGAAUUUCUUUGGCAGUGGGAAGAAUUCCAACCCCACAUUUGAAUUCUAUAACCUAUCGGCACUGGCUCGUCAACUGGCUUUCGGGCAGCUGCCGAUUGGACUCUGCUAUGCCGAUGUGGUGAAGCCAAGGGAGACUAUAACCAACGGACUUGAGUGGAUAAGAAUAGCUCAGCUUCAGCCAAAUGCCGAUACGUCAGACAUUGAUUUAUCGACAUGGAUCCCAACCCUUUUUAUUACUCAGAUGUACAAGCAGUGGUGGGAAGAGUGGAAGGAAUACCUGUUCUGCACAUCGGCUGUGACAUACCGCGGCAUGAUCGACCGCAACUAUAAGAUCCCUGAUAACAUUGUAAGUCUUCAACCGAUACCUCAGUUCUUUUGUUGCUUUUAUUCUCAUCGGUAACUCACCUCCUCCUUUUUGAACAGGUCGACAACCCGCCACCGACAGUCAACAGAAGCGAAAGGCCAAUUGAGCUCCUCCCGUGAGGCCCAAUUUCUCUAAUCGGCAACAACGCACCAAGUCUGGCAGCUUUAAUGCAUUGGAACAUGCGUUUUAAAAAGAUAACCACCAAGCGGUCUAAGACGUCCCCAACGGUUGCCACUGCUACCUUGGCACAACCUUUCAAGGUAGACUUUUGAUUUCCUUUGCUUAUACCGACUCUGUUCCAUACUCAUAUUAUCUUUUCAGGAUACAUCGGCUGCUAUGGGAACUUCAUCGGUAACUUUUAUCGUUCAAUAAGAUUUCACCAAUAUCCUGUCAUAUUUGUACUCAUGAAAUUUUGUUGUUGUAACAGCAGACUGGUAAAUUAGCAAGAACCAGAAGUGCUCAAACAAGUGCCGGUGCCCCCCAGCCUAGCCAAGUCAAAAGGAAAGGUCCCAAGAGUACCAAAUCACAACCAAAGCGUCAGAAGACAGCACCAUCUUCUCCUCCUCGUCCAGUGUCGCCGAUUCAUGUGGAAUCGUCCCCCUCUUCACCGGAAAUCUAGACACAGCAAGCACCAUCUCCUCCUCAACCAACACCUCAGCCACAAGAAGCACCAACCAAUGUGCUUGAGCAGACUGCCGAUCCAGCGGAUCUGAUCAUAUCAUCGGUUAUUCCUCCAGAACAAACAAACACUGCACCCCCUCAAGGUAAAGUACUGACCACAAAAUUAUCACCGAUGGAUUUAUUUUUCAAAUUAUAAUUACUCUUGUUAUUUCUCAGUUGAUAUUGUUCCAUCAGCAACUCCAGCCGAUCAACCUGUAGUACCAACGGCAUCAACCAGCCAGAGGCGUGAAAUAGCUUUGAAGCAAGUAAGUUAUCUGAUUUUCAUCCUUUAUAUUACUAAUACUUGAUCAUCAAAUAACUUAUUCUUGUCUUCUUUUUAGGAACAGGACUCCCCAGACAGCUUGUUUUCCUUUGCCAUCGAUAUUUCUGAUGAUGAAGGCGAAGAAGCAAGCUCCUCCCAAGCAGUAGGGGUCUCAUCGACAGAAAUCAAAGCCAAGCUGGAAGACCUGUUGGUCCUGCUGCAUCAAGAUACUGCUAAGUUGGUUGAUGACUCUGAUCCAGCCAAAGCUCUAUUUAAAACCCUUCGGGGCCAUAUCCCAGCCGAUGCAGAAGAAAUCUUGUUUCAAGCUGCACACUUGGAAAGCCGCCAGCUCCAGUACCAGAAGGCUACCUAGCGUCUCGCCGAUAGAGCUGCUCACGUCCAACUCACAGAGGAAGUAAUGCAGGUAAAGCGCCUUGCCGAUGAGAAACAUAAGAGCAUCGGCAUUCUGCAGUCUUCAGAGGAGACGCUGAAACAGAAGAUUUCUGAUCUAUCGGCAAGAAGGAAAACUCUGCUAGCCGAGCUCAAACAAGUGGAAGAAGCCUUAACUCAAGCUCAGCAAGAAGAAAGCCAGAGCUGCCUGAGAGGAUCAAAACUCUCCAACAAGAACAUAACAUCCAAGCCCACAAAGCACUACAGAUGAAGAAGAAGCCGAAGCCAGCAGACGGUUCUACCGAUGAAGACAUCCGGGAGAUAGAAGAAGCUAACCAGAUUCGCCUACGCGCCAUAUCGGCCAUUCAAGCCUUGCUGAAUCUGUAAGCUCCUCAUCGGCGGCUUAUUUCAUCCCACCUUUAGAGACUUUUGAUCAUUCCAGUCUAGCCGAUAGGACUGUUAUCGGCACCUUUUAAAACAUUAUGCACAUCCCCAGAGACGUUUUAUCCAGCCGAUAGGAGUGUUAUUGGCACUUAAAGUUUUAUGCAUCGACCCAAAUGCUUGGGUAAUACCUCUUUAGAUAUUUUCCAUUUAAUGCUUUAGGAAAUUCAACUCCUUCGAGAGUCUCCAAAAUAUAAGCAUUACCAGGAGCAGAUCGAUUUAUCCGAUAAGGACUCUCCCAAUUAGGAGACCAUUUUCUAAACUUCGAACUUUUAGUCCCAAUCGGUAAAAUUAAUUUUCAUACCAAAUCUCCGUCGGCAAACUCCUUAGCUUUUACUCUUUUAUCAUACCACCUAGCAACUCUCUUUUUAUUUUCUUCUAUACUUAUCAAAGCUCUCAACCGAUGCUCUGCCAAAUCAUCUAACUCAUCUUUCAUCAAAGUAGCAUAGUCAUCGGCAGCCAAUUGAUCUUGAAAAGAGACCCGCCUAGAUCCAAUCUUAAUUUCCCAUGGUAGCACGGCAUUGUGUCCGUAUACCAACUGAUAAGGUGAAACUUUGGUCGAUCCAUGACACGCCAUCCGAUAUGACCAUAAAGCUUCAUUCAACAAUGUAUGCCACCUUCUAGGAUUUUCUUCAAUCUUUCGCUUAAUGAGCUUAAUAAUCCCUUUGUUAGAUGCUUCGACUUGUCCAUUGGCUUGAGCAUAAUAAGGAGAGGAAUUCAAUACUUUAAUCAACAUACCGAUUGCAAAUUCAUCAAACUCUCCCAAUGUAAACAUAGUACCCUGAUCGGUAGUGACUGUUUGAGGAAUACCAAAUCGGUAAACAAUAUGCUCUUUCACAAAAUCAAUCAUGUUAGCCGAUGUUACUUUCUUCAAAGGAAUAGCUUCAACCCAUUUAGUAAAAUAGUCAGUGGCAACUAGGAUGAACUUAUGCCCCUUGCUUGAUGGUGGAUAAAUCUGGCCAAUUAGAUCAAUAGCCCAUCCCCGGAACGGCCAAGUCUUAAUAAUAGGAUUCAUGGCCGAUGCGGGUGCCCUUUGAAUAUUGCCAAAUCUUUGACAUCCCUAACAUCCUUUGAAAUAUUUAAAGCAAUCUUCAAGUAUGGUCGGCCAAUAAUACCCGUUUCUCCUGAUCAUCCACUUCAUCUUAAAAGCCGACUGAUGCGCUCCACACACCCCUUCAUAGAUUUCACCCAUCAAGCUUUUAGCCUCAUCAUCACCUAAGCACCUGAGUAAAACUCCAUCUAUCGUUCGAUAAUAUAGUUCUUCUCCAAGGAGCACAUACUUGGUAGCCUGAAACCUAACACGCCUCUCAACCCUUUUAGAUGGAUCUUUUAAGUAAUCAAUGAUUUCCUUUCUCCAAUCAUCGGCACUGAUUGCCGAUAGCACAUUUAAGAAAGGUUGAUAUCCCGAGGCAUGCUGAGCCAACCGAUUAGCCUCUUCAUUAUGUAAUUGAGAAACAUGCUCCAAUCGGAAAUCCUUGAAUCCCCUCAACAGCUGUAGGCUCUUUUCAUAAUAAGUUAUCAAAACUUCACUUCGGCAUUCAUAAAUUCUAGCCAGUUGAUUUAUAACAAGCAUAGAAUCGCCGAAGUUCUCAACAGCAUCCGCAUGAACCUCUUUUAAUAAUUCCAACCCUUUGAUCAGAGCCUGAUAUUCAGCUUAAUUAUUUGUUGACGUGGCAACAACCGGCAAGGAGAACUCAUACUUCUCUCCCCUAGGAGAAAUUAAUACUAUACCGAUUCCUGCCCCCCGGUCACACGUGGAUCCAUCAAAGAAGAGCGUCCAAGGAACAAUCUCCAAAGUCCCCACUACACCGCAAUGCUGAGUCACAAAAUCGGCCAUAAUCUGCCCUUUAACUGCCUUAGCCGAUUCGUAACGCAGAUCAAAUUCCGAUAGCGCCAAAAUCCAUUUGCCGAUUCUACCACUCAUAAUCGGCAUAGAUAGCAUGUACCAGACAACAUCAUCUUUGCAUAUAACGGUGCAUUCGGCCGAUAACAAAUAGUGUCUCAACUUAAUACAUGAAAAGUAUAAGCAUAAACAUAAUUUUUCAAUUGACGAAUACCUUGUCUCAACAUCAACCAGUCUUCUACUUAAAUAAUAAAUCACACGUUCCUUCCCUUCAAAUUCUUGAAUUAGAGCCGAACCAAUGACUAUCCCAUCGGUAGACAAAUAUAAUUUGAAAGGUUUACCCUGUUAAGGUGGAAUUAGAACUGGAGGAUUUGUCAAAUAAUUCUUGAUUUCGUCCAAUGCUGAUUGUUGCUCUCUUCCCCCACACAAACUCUUGAUCGGCUUUCAACUUAAGUAAAGGACUAAAAGCACGAAUCUUACCAGACAAGUUAGAUAUAAAUCGCCUGAUAAAAUUUAUCUUGCCGAUCAGAGAUUGGAGUUCAGUUUUGUUGGUGGGAGCAACUAUUUUGUUGAUAGCAUCAAUAGAUCUCCUACUAAUUUCAAUUCCUCUCUGAUGCACCAUGAAACCAAGAAAUUGCCCUGUUGAUACACCAAAUGCACAUUUAUUAGGAUUCAUCUUUAAACCAUAUUUCCUUGUGCACUCCAACACCUUUCGUAGAUCGGCAAGAUGCUUUGUGAAAUCUCCAGACUUAACCACCACAUCAUCAAUAUAGAUUUCCACCAGCUUGCCGAUGAACUCAUGCAAGAUAAAAUUCAUAGCCCUCUGAUAAGUAGCACCAGCAUUUUUCAAGCCAAAGGUCAUGACUAUCCAUUCAAACAACCCAACAUGACCAGGACAUCUAAAUGCGGUCUUUGGAAUAUUUUCUUCGGCCAUGAAUAUUUGAUUAUAUCCUGCACUGCCAUCCAUAAAGCUAAUAAUCCGAUGUCCAGCUGCAGCAUCAACUAGCAAAUCGGCAACUGGCAUUGGAUAACCAUCCAUCGGUGUAGCCUUGUUAAGAUUCCGGAAAAGAAUGCAGACACAAAGCUUUCCAUUCUUCUUGUAAACUGGAACAACAUUGGAAAUCCACUCGGCAUACCGACACUGCCGAAUAAAUUUAGCUUCGAUAAGUUUAGUUAUUUCGGCCUUAAUAUCAGGAAGAAUAUUAGGAUUACAUCGGCGAGCCGGCUGUUGAUGCGGCUGAAAUCCAGAUUUGGUAGGUAACCGAUGUUCAACAAUAGAUCGGUCUAAACCAGGCAUCUCGGUAUAAUCCCAAGCAAAGCAAUCUUUAUAUUCUUUUAACAAAUUGGUUAAUUGAUGCUUACACUCAGAAUCUAACUUAGCACUAAUAAAAGUAGGCCUUGGCCUAUCACCAUUACCUAUAUCUACUUCUACUAAAUCAUCGGCCGAUGUAAACCCCUGGCCUAAUUUUCCAUCAUCGGCGAACCUAUCCAUUAAAACUCCUCAUCAGAACCGACUGCUUGGAUCGGUGAAAUUUCAUAAUCGGCAACUUUGAGAAAAUUCUUCUCCCAAAUCUCCCCCGAAAUGCAUCUGGUCCUUUCGUAAGUAUCCGCCUCUGCCGAUGCAAUGACAUAUGAAGAAUCCCCUGGGACAAUCUCAAUCUUGUCACCUACCCACUGAACUAAGCACUGGUGCAUUGUAGACGGGAUCCAACAAUUGGCAUGAAUCCAAUCUCUCCCCAACAGCAAAUUAUAAGCACCCUUUCCAUUGAUGACAAAGAAAGUUGUCGGCAAGGUUUUGCUACCGAUGGUCAACUCAACACAUAUGGCUCCCUUGACUAGAGACACAUUCCCUUCAAAAUCUUUCAGCAUCAUAUCGGUCUUGGUCAAAUCUUGAUCUCCUUUCCCAAGCUUCCGAUAGACUGCAUACGGUAUAAUAUUGAUAGCAGCCCCACCAUCAACAAGUAUCUUGGUCACCGGCUGUCCAUCAACCCUGCCUUUGACAAACAGAGCUUUAAGAUGUUGUCUCUCAUUAUCAGCGGGCUUUUCAAAGAUAGCCGUCAUCGGAUCCAGAGCCAAUUGAGCUAUCUGGUCGGGAAAAUCCACCUCCUCAUCAUUACUGAAGGGUGCAAGGAAUUCCAUCAGCAACAUGAACACCAUAUUAACAUCUGCCGAUGGACUUUUUCCUUUAGGAUCUGGCUGCUGCUGAUCCCCAGACUUGGCAGAAUUCUCUUCUCUACUCAGCUCUUCUCGUCGCUCCCGCUACAGCCUUCUUUUCUGUGUCCUAGUUAACCCCUCUGGACACCAUGGAGGGAGUUGUGGUUGUCUAACCGACUGGCGACGAUUUUCCCUUGAUUCCACUCGAUAAGUAUUAGCAUCUCUGCAAAAUAUGAACUCACCGGGAACUCGUGCAUCCACCAUCUCCUCGAGCUCCUCUUGGUUUCUGGGAAAAACCCAACACGCUCACCAAGCCUGUCAUGCACACUGAGCCUGCCCCUAGUCGAUCAUGAACUGAGGCCCUUCCCUUAAUCGGCCCAUCAAAACGCCGAUCAUUGUUCUGAUACUGCCGUUUUGGUCUACCAUACCGAUUAUAACCGUUACACUCAGGGCAGUCUCUAAUAGUGGGUAGCUUGAUGUUUUGCUCCCAACAAUGGAUGAAGAAUGGGCAGUUCCAGUAAUCUUUGUGCCGACUCCACUCUUGUCAGCGUCUUUCUUCUUUCCGACGACGAUCCUCCUGUUGGCGCCGAUACCGAUCUUCACGCUGCUGCCAGGUUUCCCGAUGCCUUCUAUGAGUGAUCACAAUGCCAGAUCGAGGAGGCCUUCCUAAGCUUGUUCCUUCCUGGAUCAAGCCCUUGCCUUUGGCGUCAUCGGCAGUGAUCUGAUGCUGAGGAUCUAUCGAUGCACUUCUUUCAGCUGCCUCUGAUGUCAAGACUUUAGUAUUUCCCUUACCAUCUAACAUAUUUGUAGGGAAAGGAUGUUGGUCAAUCUUCAUCGGCUUUUGAGCUUUGGAGCUAUCGAACAUAAUUCUUUUAGACUCUAUAGCCGAUUGCAGCUGUUGCCUGAAAACCUUGCACUCAUUUGUACUGUGAGAUGUUGCAUUAUGCCACUUGCAGUACUUAAUCUUCUUUAAUUCUCCUGCCGAUGGAAUCACAUGGUUGGGUGACAACUUAAUUUGCCCCUGCUGAAGCAGAAAGUCAAAUAUCCUAUCGGCUUUGGUGAUGUCGAAUGCAAACUUUUCUGGCUCUUUAUGCCCAAACGGGCAAGACAUCGUCUAGCUUCUUAUUCUUUACCUACUCUGCCAGUGAUGACUGGUUCUUCAUCAGAAUCUGAGCUUGUUGCCUCAUCGACAAAUGACACCUUUUUGUUCUAUGCUCUCUUAGGUUUAAAAGCUUUGACAUCUUGGUCAGAAAUCCUCUGCACUAAAUGACUUAGACUUUCGAACUCUUGAGAAGCAUAAUUGUCUCUGAUAUGUGGCAACAAUCCCUGGAAAGCCAAAUCGGCUAGCUGCCGAUCAUCUAGAACCAGACUAUAACAUUUAUUCUUGACAUCUCGCAACCUUUGCACAAAGCUUUCAACUGAUUCAUCAUUGCGUUGCUUUAGCCUGACUAAAUCGGUAAUCUUCUUCUCAUGAACUCCAGAAAAGAAGUAUUUGUGGAACUGUUUCUCUAGAUCGGCCCAUGUGAUCACUGAGUUUGGAGGUAAUGAAAUAAACCAAGUAAAUGCCGAUCCAGACAAAGAUGAUGAGAAUAAACAAACCCUUAACUCAUCUCUAUUAGCAGCUUCCCCACACUGGAUGAUGAACCUGUUAACAUGCUCCAUAGUUGACGUGUCAUCCUGCCCGGAGAAUUUAGUGAAAUCUGGCACCUUGUACCGAUUUGGAAGUGGGAUCAAGUCGUAUGCAGGAGGAUACGGUGUCAGAUAAGAGUAAGUGUUAACUUUGGAUUUUAUCCCAAAUUGAUCUCUCAUCACCUUAGCUAUCUUAUCGGCCCAAUAAGCAUCGGCAUCUUGCCGAUGAACUGGCUAUGGAUCUGGCAUCUGCUGAUAAGCCUCCACGUGUCUCGGCAAUGCACGAUCUCCAGGGAACAUAGGAUUAGCUAUUGCCUGCUGACCACCAACUUGUUGACCAAGAUUGAUCGGCUGGAUGAUCAACCCUUGAUUCUGAAAUCCAGGUUGCAUUGGUCCCUGUUGAAAUCCCACAGCCUGAUGAUUCUGCUGAGGCAAAUGUGGAAAGACGAAUUGCCCUGUCCAUCCAUUAUUAACAUUCAUCGGCGUAGGCCCUGCCGAUGGAUGAUAAUUGGGCAUCAUCAUUGAAUUGACAUACCCUGGCUAUGUCAUAAACCUUUGCUGCGUUGGCAUUGGAUCUGCCGAUGCGUUAGGCAUCUGGAACGUUGGUACUUGAGAAUUCCCAGUAAAAGGUCUUGCAGUAGUAGUUGUAGAAUAUUGGGGAUUCUAAGUCAUCGGUGAUACUGGAGGUGUCGAUGCCAUAGGAGCCUUGCCUGUCAUAUCAGCCACUUGAGACAUUCGAGAGCUAUUUGCCAUAAACUCUGGGGGCAUACCAUAUCCCCACCAAUUAGGAGGAACUUGAGAUCCUUUAAACACAGAUCCUGUCAUUGCCGAUGCCAAUAAAUCUGUAGUGAGUUUAACUUGUUCCUCUGAUGUUGAUGAAUUAGUCGCCAUUGGUGUAGAUUGCGCAUUAGUCAUCCCUAGUGUGCUUGGAGGAGAAGUAACUUCUGUACCCGCAACGGCUGUAGUAGCCGAUGGAGCCGUAACCGAUGAUGAUCCUGGCUGAUGAUAGGCAGGGCCCACAUAAGAUGGUGGUAUUUGUCCUUCUUUGAAAGUUCUAGCCACAGCAUUGAAAACCAUAUUGGACAGCACACCAAAUUGAUUGAUUAGAGCACGAUUGACAGCACUAUCAACCAUCUCUUGUAGUUUACCAGGAUUGGCUUCAAAAGUAAUUUGCCGAGGCAUCGGCAAUGCUUCCUUCUGGAUCACCUCGCCACUCCUGUUGAUACUGAAGGAUUUCAAGCAUAGCUGCUUGUAGUCCUCCAUAGCUUUUGCCAUAGCUUGCUUCUGUUCAUCUCUGAGAUUAGCUUCCGCCACAGGGAUGACGUUCUCCAAGUCGAAAUCGGUGUUCGACAUGUUGAUCUUGAUGUUGAAUCUCUGUCCCACUGGGCGUGCCAAAAGAUGUGUUGGUGCAAAAGUGGAUCUACAAACACAAAGGGCUAAUACCCAAUUCAAUGUUAAGGCGUGCCAGCCGAUUUGACCUUACAAUCGACAAAGGUGAUAACUCGAACACUUUGGUCCUGACAACAGCGAUGCGCCCGGAUGUCACGGCCAAGAGGUAUUCACGCGGAACUUGAGAACUCGUCGAGAUUGACUCGAUGAAUUCCUAAGAACUCGUAAGUAGAAAGAAAAUAUACAGGCUGACGAAGUCGUCGAAAAAGUAGAUGCUGGAAUAGAUGUAAAAUCUUGUGUUUGAUUGAUUGUGUAUAUCCAUUACAUUACCAUAGGGUCUACAUUUAUAUCCUGUCCAUAAGAGUUACAACCAGACACGACUAGGACUCGAAUUCUAAAUUGAACGGAAUCCGUAUGCAAAGCAAACUCUAAAAAACUAUGGAAAACAUUAAUCUUCCACCAAAACCGAUCGGCACAACAUCGCCAUCUGACCAUCGAUUCCUGCGUCUCCUUUUGCAUCCAUCGGCAAAUCACCUUCCGUAGCCAUCGGCAACCAUCAACAUUAGUCAUCGGCAUAAACCCACCACUGCUCCCAGACUUGGCUUCAUUCUGUUGUUUCGUCAUCGGUAUCAACCUUCAUCGGCAACUCUCCUGUCAACCAGCCACCACUUUAUUCGCCUGCCAAUCUAUGCCUUAUUAACUCUCAAAUACGCGUCCAGAGAUACGUGUCCAAAAACGGUGUCAACAGACUUAAUAUGGUAGUUGUAGAUGACAACGACAGGACUAGUAGGGGCUGUAACAUCCUCCCCCUCCCUUAGGCAUGCCUUGGCUAGGGCAGGCUGCGAGGCCCGGCUAGUGCGGCAAUGCCCCCUCCUCGGGCCCUAGGUGGCCCGUUUUCUUCACCGAUGAGUAUGGCUCACGUUGGGCGUGUGACAGGUAUAGUGUGACAAUACAAGGGAAACAUCUGUCUGGCGAGCAAGUCAUUGCUUUGGACUUUUUCACCAAGAAUGGAUGUACAAAGAAUAGUAGAUAUUUUUUAUUUUUUCCUACAAUUUGGUGUUCUGUUAUCUUCUUGAAUGUAAUCAUCAGAUGAGCUGAAAACUUGUAAGAACUUGGCUAUUUUCGAUCACAGAGGCAAGAACUAUUUCUUUUUUAAAAGAAAAUUUUGUGUGCACUCCGGUGAUGGCAAAUAAAAAUGCGAUCGCAGAGGCAAGAACUAUUUUUUUAAAUAAAAUUUUGUGUGCACUCCGAUGAUGGCAAAUAAAAAUGGAAAUUCAAUAUGUACCUUUGUGCUUAUGCCGGUGAGACUUUGGAUGGUUUCUAUUCUAAUCCCAAGCAAUUUAUUGUGUUGGACGUGCAAUAUACUUAGAGCAACUCCAAGAGACUUUAAAUUUCUAUAAUCACCAUAUCUCUAUCUAGAAAUUCAUUUAAUGAAUAUUUUCUUCGUAAAUCUCUCAUGUAUCUACCAGACUUUUCAAUUUCUCAUCUAUGUACUCCAAUAGCAUCUCAUAAUUUUCUUUUUGAGAAAAAAUCAUAUGAAAACUAUAGUACAUAUUGUGUUUAAACAGCCAUCUAGGCUCUCCAAAGGUGGAGAGGGAGAAGGGUGGUUGUGGAGAGAGGAAAAAAAUGGAGUGAUUUACAGUCUAUUGGAGCAUAUUUUUAGUUUUGUUUUCUAAUUUUUGUGAUAUAGAGCCAUGUGGAGAAUCUUCUAGAGAUGCACUAGGACUAAACCUUGCAUGGUUCUUUAUUUUACCACAGCAGCUGAAGAUUGCAUGCACCAGGUGGAUAUGUGGCCUCUGAUAUUAUGUGGGUGACAAUUAUAAAUUAGAGCCAAUAACAAACAAAGAUUCAAUAAACCUGUUAGGUGUUUUGACCCCGGGAGGUAACACCAACGAGUGAAUUUGUGUGCGUGUUCCCCUUUUCGGAUGGUUAUGCAAGAGUGACACAAAGAUUUAUCCUGGUUCAGGCAAAAGAAGGCCCUACGUCCAGCGGGGGGGAGAGUGUGUAUUAUCUUGCACCUAAGUGCUUGUACAGGGGCGAAUACAAGUAAAUGUGUCGGAGAGGAAAAGCGGCAGUUGCUGGAUGAUGGCUCGAUCGUCUCCUCGAGCGCCUCCCAGCUGGCAUGCCAGCCGAAAAUCCGCCAGCCAUAGUUCUGGCUUGGUUUCGCUGUUGUAUUUGGCGAUGCUGGUCGGGGGUCGGAACGGGCUCGGCAGUGGCGUGCUACGGAUCGCCCUACUGAAGACUCGAGGACCUGGUGGCUCUGGAGCCAUCCGGUCCUCGUCACUAUCGUAGCAUCCGCCACGGUGGGCGUUGUAGCCUCGUUCCUCAGCGUCACCGUGUUUGCGGCGUCGAUGCUCGUUGAUGUCGCUUUGAGCGUCGCGAGGCUCUCGAUUGUCGACAAGGCGCUCCAGGAUCGGGGUGGCUGUUCCCUGUGAACAGACACCUCCCUCUCAUUUCGAGCUGGCUCGGGGUGCUUUUCUGUGGCCGCCCCUCGACGUCGAGAGGCGGAGCUCUCUGCUUGCUGAGCCGCCGCCACAUGGAGCAAACCUUGCACCUCGUCUCGAAUGCGUCAUGCCUACGAGUUCGAGGGCUCAGGCAUGUUGCGUAGCAGUAUGGUUGCCGCCACGAUGUUCUGACCACCUCGUGGGAAUCGGCUAAUGAGCGGUUCAGGCUCCUCGUCCCCAACGAUCUGUCGGUACACGUCUCGAGCGCGUCCGCGCGUGCCCCCGCUCUGCGGGUGUGGUUGGUCUCGCUCGAGGGCCCGCUCUAGUUGGCUGAGGCGCUCUCGGUCCUCGUCGAGCUUGGCUUUUAGCUAUCAUAGCUGCGCAACUUGCAUGGCCUUCUCGUCCUGAGGUGGUGGGUCCGCCUGCCCGUCGUUCCCAGGUGUCCUAGGAUCUUCCCCUGCCGCGGGAGCUUGUGCAACGACGGCGGCGUCCUCUGUGUCGUCUGGGGUAGCCACUUCUCCGUCGAUGUUGAAGCAUUCCCUCGUAGGGUCGUAGCUGUCAGACUCGGAGUCGGGGUCUGGCUCGGCGGUGUAGAAGCAUCUGCGCCACUCCUCCGCCAACUGUUGCCUGAGCGUGGUGAGGGUGUAUCGUCCAGGUCCCAGGCGUCGAGGCCUGCGUAUCUAGGGAAAGCCUGGACACUCAACCACUUGCUGAGCUUGCUGUCGCGUCUCUGUGUCACGUGGGAGGACCAGUGGUCGCUCCACGCACGUCCCGAUGCCUGGACAUAUUGUCCUGACGAGCGACGUUGUGGCGUUGUCUAAGCCGAACAGGAGCGUCUGCCCUGUGGCGAACAGACCAUGUGGUAACAGGGCAAAUGGUGGCGACGGUGCAUGGGGUGCGUUGUCCCUUGGUGCCGUCGGGCGGCCGCUCCGCUGACUGGCCGACAUGACCACUGCCUUGGUGUGCGAGGCUGCCGGCCCCUCCACCAAUACCUGUCCUACAUGAGGUGGCGAUCGUGCGGCAGCGUUGAGGCGGUGGCGAUGCUGAUCACGCCUCCUCUUGGGCCGGGAAGCGUGGUAGUGAGGCCGCUGUGGGCCUUCGAUCGUGUGGGCAUGAUGCGAGCCCCUCCCGGUCCUCUAACUGAGAGCAAAAUCAUAUCAUAGCUGAAACCAGUGGACAUGAACUUAAGGCUCCCAAACCAGAUCACCGUGGAGCGCGGGAUCGGUGAGACGUGAGUGGCAAUACGAAAAGAGACGGGGAAUCAAUAGUAACACGCAGGACCCCUACCUAGUGUGCCAACUGUCGGUGUUUUGACAACGGGGGGUAACACCAACGAGUGAAUUUGUGUGCGUGUUCCCCUUUUUGGAUGGUUAUGCAAGAGUGACACAAACAUUUAUCCUGGUUCAGGCAAAAGAAGGCCCUACGUCCAACGGGGGGAGAGUGUGUAUUAUCUUGCACCUAAGUGCUUGUACAGGGGCGAAUACAAGUAAAUGUGGCUGAGAAUUCUAAGUCCUAGCCGGUUGUGGUGGAGAGUGAAUCGUGUAUUCUAGGUCUCUUGUUCGAUAUCGUCCUCAGCGUCCCCUUUUAUAGUUCCAAGAGGAGGCCUAGGUUACAGGAUGUAGGCGUUUGAGUAGGCCUCGAUAGGGGUAUGGCGCUGACCUACUCGAGGCCUCUGUACAGCGUGGCCUCGAGCCGUCUUGUUACAGGGUACUUUGGUGAUGAUGGCGCGUGCGUUCCUUGAAUUCAACUCCUGCACCCCAUCUGGUAUUGGCUUAGGCGCGAGCACGCUUAUACGUCGCGGCAGUCGUCAUGCCGAGAGUGGUUGAAGUGAUAACUUCUAUCGCUCAAUCCUUCCUUGGGAAGGUGCGUGCGUGCUCGAGGGUCAGGCGACAUGGGUGGCUUUGUUAUGCAGGAGCGCUGACCUCGAACAUCUCGAGGGGUGUUGUGAUGGGAUAUUACGCCUGCUGCACUGUGCCGAGCUGUACUUUUCUCCAAUCUUGAGGAUAAAGCUGGGAAAAGUGGAGAUUUGACGGGUGCUUGUUCCCCCAUCACGUUUCCCGUGACUGUCGGGUUAGGUGGGAGCGUGGCAGUCGCAUUAAAUGCUCUGGCUCCCGUACCUGCGACAGGCGGCGGGGAACGCUUUUGCGCUCGAGGCUCGCCGAUUCGCUCGACGCUCUUUCCGUAAUCGAUGGUCUCUGGCUAUCGAGCCCUUGACCAUUCGCUCGACCUUACUUCCGUAUUCGAGGCCAUGGUCGAUACCGUGCCCUGGCUCGAACCACGGCUCAGACGGUCCUGUAUUUAUACUGAAUCAUCGAGCCUAAGCCUCGAAUCGUUUGUGGAUCUUCACAUUGUGAGUGUUUGCUGGGGUACCCCUUGUUGACAUCCUCGACAAAACCCAAAUAACUUUUAUUAUUUGGAUUUUAAAAUAUUCUUAAGGGAUUUCUAGAAACUUUCAAUAAAAUUUUUGAGUCCUAAAAAAUAUUUUUGCAGUGAGUGAGCAAUCUUGCUCAGUACUUUAUUUGAGUACCAAAUAAUCACAUUUCUGCAUACUAGAAUUUAUCUAACAUAUUUUGGAGCUCCUUUGAGUUUUCAUGUGGAGUUCCUUGGAAUCUCAAUUUAUUUAAAAUAGGGAGCAAACUUUCAAUUCAUAUUAGUCAUGCUACCAUUGCAAUAACUAGCAGAAAGGAGUAAUCUUACAUAAGGUUCCACACACAACAACUUGAUCAAAUGAACUCUUCUAUAUUAUUAUGUUUUUGGACCAAUAAUCACCAGAAGAUGAGGUAUAUAGGAAGAUAAUGAAAAAUUAAAAUGACAUAACGAUAUUGGUGACCCAGCCAAUAUGGUUCUAUAGUAGAUAUAUUGAAAGGGUUUGGUGAAUAUGGCUUGGAAUAUAUGUUGCAUGUUGUAGAGACAUCAACUUUGAAUACAUCUCAACCAACUCCCAUGCUUGACACAGGACAACAAAAUAUUAUUAUAGCUAGAAUGAUUGGAUGAGCACAAUAGCUCAUGACAUAUGAAGUACUAGAAGCUGAAAACUUUUGUUCCAUGGCCUCAACAGGUUGCUAUGUCUUAGAAAGAAGAUGCUUCCAAAGGAUAAGAAGCUUCCUUAAACAACUCAAGGCACCAAGUAGGUUAUCUAGCCUUUGCAUUUAGAAGUACAAAAGGUACAUGAAUGUUCUAAUGGUUGUGCUCUUUAUCACAUUGAUUUGAGGAUUUGAGAGGUUGUCUGUCAUGCAAAUCACUAUAGUGUGAAAUCAAGCAUAACAACCUUAAUAAUGAAGUAGGUUUAAAAAUCAUGAUGAUAUUGAAGGUGAGCCUAAGAAGAGAAUCCUCUCCACCUCACCCCUACCACCCUCCCAACCCUUCCACCACUAAUGCAUAUGGUAUUUCCCUACAAUACCAUACUUCAAGCAUAAGUUUGUGAUCAAAGCACAAAAGUAAUUGAUGUAGUGGAUUAAAUAAGAUUGUAAGGAAGAUACAAUGAUAAUAUUGAGUAUCCUCUAUUGGACUAUAGUGGAGGAAGUUUAUAAAACAUAGCUAGACAUUGCAAAGCCGGUGAGGAACAUUAGAUUUAGGUUGAGUACAAACGGGAUGAAUCCUUUCGAUGAAUUGCGACGUAGAAAUAGAACAUUGCAUAAGUCUAUGGAUAUAAGUUUUGAGUGGUCAUAGAACUUAGUAAUGUAUAUAUGGUAUAUACUCCCUAUGGUCCAGUUUAAGCCAUUUCGAGUAUGUCAACAGUCAAACAAUGUAAACUUUGACCAACAAUUUGGUCAAAAAAAUUUAGAUGUUGAAUACAAACUUGAUACUAUUAGAUUUAUAAUCAAAUCCACUUUCCAAUAACCAUAAGUUUAUAAUCACAAACAACAUAAUAUAACAUAAAUGAAUGGUAAGACUAUAAUUUAGGAUACCAUGCCAUUUAUAAUUUGAUGCUGGCAUUUAUCCAAGGUCCCCAAGUAACCUGGCAAUUGCAUCUAUUUUAAUUAAACUAUUGGUUGAAGGUCGUACAUUGUGCAACGAUUGUGUAUGGGUAUGGGAUAAGUACGAAAGGGAGUAGUUCAACCUAAAAGUAAUGUUCAUAACCACCAACGAGUAGCAUGCACUUGGUAACAUGGAGGGAUUCACUAUCAAAGAAUUUAGGGUCAAAUAGCACCGUUUGCUUACAUGACUAAUAGCAUAGACCUAAAGUUAUCAAAAGGCAUAGAAAAUGGUCCAUCAUAAGUUUCUCCACACGGACAUGUGUAUUUGCAUUGCUAGAGGAUCUAAAAAUUGUUUUCAUGACAGGAUUCGUGUGGACAGUUGGUAACAGAUGUUGGUCUUUGAGUUAUGUUGCAAACCAAAUUAAUAGACCUUGUGUUGAAAAUUAUGUCUAUUAGGGAACUUAAAACUCUGUAUCAGGGAUAUAAUUAAGUUUUCCAAGAGAUUAUAGGUUGAAUAGAUGAUAAUUGCAUAAUUGCAACCCUAGGAAUUCAUUGGCAAACAUUUUCUUCCGGCACUUUGAUAGUGAAGUUGUUGAAAAAUUUCUAACAAACAUGAUUGCAUCAUGUUUCAGAAAUGGGAACCAUGAGGGUAUCCUAUACAAAGUUAAGAGGGUAACCUGACCAUUUUUUACCUUAACAUGAUAGAACAUGAGGAUACCAUAAGUGAAAAGAUUGGCGAAGAUGUCAUGAGUGUAAUUCAUCAUUCAUACAAAUGCAUGUGCCAAUUCGCCUUUGACAUACAAUCAAUUUUCUUAGAUAUUUCCUUUUCUUCUAUUUUAAGAUUAUUGAAUUGAGUAUAUAACCAGCAUACUCAAACACUAUGGUCCUAACAAAAGUUGAUGGUAAACAUGUUUAUCAUCAAAUUAAACCAAGGAGCACAUCUAUUGAACUUGAACUAGCACUGUCAUUGUACCACAAAACACGUAGCUUAUCUGUUAGGGAUCACGUGCCCAACAACAUCCUGUAAAAACUGGAGUUGCAAACUAGGUGACAUGAUGUCUAUGAUGCUAUUAUUGAACUUUCAAACAUUAUAAAAGAGGCACUAAAGUUCCCUUAAGGCCAAGAUAAGUUGAUGAAGAGCUAUAUACUGUUGGGACGGUAUAAGUUUAAGCAACUUUCCGAUUUUAAAAAAAAAAUCUCAAAAACUAAGCUUGAAUUUGCAGACAUAAAUGCCAUACUUUGCAGCCGCAUGUAUGAACAUGAGAAUUUCAAAAUAAUAUAGAAAAUAUUCUAUAUGAUUUUUAUUUAUCAAGACAAGAAGCAUGGCAUUAGAGAGGACCGAGCUGGGGAUCGAGUGAGGUCUCAGCUGGCUGCGCUCCCGUGUUCAAGUGCUAAUACCGGUGUUGUCAAAAAAAAAGUGCUAAUACCGGCCGGCAUGGGAGCCUCACCCUGGGUUUUUUCCCCAUAGAGCCUAGGAGGGUGUCCUAGGUUAGAUUAAUUGAGGAGCCUCGCAUAGACGAGCUACAACUAUCAUAUCUCUUAGAGCAAGUAUUAUAGAUCCUAGUCAGCAGGCUGUAAGGCAGUCCAUGUCAUCAAAAUCCUACGUGGAAGAAAGAGAAAGGAAGAGAGAGAAGCUAGCUGACGCUAAGCUUGUCGUCGAGCGCAGCACAAAUAAAGAGACGCAUACGCUGGCUUGCAGCCCAUUUGAUCGGCUUUUGGCACGCGAAGAGCAUCCUCCGUCUCUCAACUUGGUAGAGCAUUAAAUGCUGGGCCAACUCUCCUAGCUUACUAGUAUACUGGUACAUAUACUUGUCACUAGUACUCAGCCUUCUAGCAGCCCGCAACCGGCGUUUUCUAUUAUCCUUGCUCUUAGUUGUUUUAUCUUAGACCUAGAUAUAGGUUAACGUUUAGGUCUUAGACCUAGAUAAAAGUUAGGCUUCUGUUUGGUUAGAUUAAUUGAGGAGCCUCGCAUAGACGAGUAUAUGUCUAGCUUGCUGUGCACUAGGGUGUGUGUGCGCGCUUGUGUGGUGUGAGUAUGUUGUAAGAUUAUGAGUAAGUUCAGAUACUACAGCUAAGCUUGUACUCGAAGGUUGAGGCAAUAAAAAAGCAUGACAUUUGACAAGAGUUGGUAAGUAAAUAGUCAAACACUACAGCCAUAUCUACAAGUGUUGAUAACAAAUUAAAAGAGCUUCUGUCAGUGCGGGUUUCUAAAUUAACAGCCUUUCAAAAUGCAAAAGUUGGCCUACCCAAGAUCCUAGAGAAGUAUGAUAGCACGAAGCCAAUAUUCUAAAACUUUAGGGCUUGCUUGGCUGCCAGCAUACUUUGCCAUGAUUCGGAUGUUGGUGCCGCCUCACUUGAGCGAAAUCGACGCCACAAAGUAUGUUGAGAAUCUAACUUCCAAUAUCUGUUCACCAACCAAACAGAAGCCUAACUUUUUUUGGUGCAGCCAAACUAUGGCGUAACGUUUAAUGUUCCAACACGAGCAAGACCAGAGUUAUCAGUGUUAGAAUAUAGAAUAUGUAUCAUACAUGGUAAUGUAUUGUAACGUAUCUUGGCAGGACAUAUAAGCCAGAUACGACUAGGACUCUGUACCUAGACCUUCUAUGUACAUGCCUCCUGAAGGCUUGUCUCAGGCGUAUAUAAACACGCACCCAGGGCCCUGGACGGGUAUCCUGGUUUCUCUAGUUUUACAUGGUAUACAGAGCCAAUACUCCUUAUGGAAAAUCACCAUGACGUCUUCAGCGCUACCGGCCGCCGCCUUCCUUGGCCUGGCGUUCAUCCUGGUCACAGAGAAGCUUACCCGAAGCAACUUCCAAUCGUGGAAGUCCCAAGUCUUAUCGGCGAUCAAAGGUGCUCAAGUCUACAAGUUCAUCCAACCAGGAGCUCAUCCUCCGCCAGAGUUCCUGGAACCGAAGGCCAAGUCUAGCACCGAUGAUGGAAAACCAGAUCCUCCAGUGUCAAAUCCAGAGUAUGACACUUGGGUAGCCAAAGAUCAGCAGGUUUUGAGUUAUCUACUCACCUCGCUUUCAAAGGAGAUCCUCAGCCAGGUCUCCACGCACACGACGGCAUCAACAGCAUGGGCCGCCAUCGAGGGCAUGUUUGCCUCUCAAUCAAGGGCGCGGAUUAUUGCUACCCGCAUGGCGUUAGCAACAGCGUCCAAAGGUUCUUCCUCCAUCAGCGAAUACAUCGCAAAGAUGAAGGGACUUGCCGAAGACAUGACAUCAGCAGGCAAGAAGAUUGAAGAUGAAGAACUCGUUUCUUACAUCCUGACCGGGCAUGAUCUGGACUAUGAUCCGGUCAUCUCAGCAAUAGCGGCACGAGUAGAGCCGAUCUCUGUCAGCGAGUUGUUUACACAACUUGUCAGUCAUGAACAGCGUAUGGAGUUACGCAAUGGAGGACAACAGACUUCAGCAAAUCUCGCUGCACGUGGUGGUCGCGGUAGCAACAACAACUCCUGUGGUCGCGGGGGAGGAGGCCGCAAUACUAGUGGUCGUGGGGGACGCACUGGUCCUGGUCACGGCAAUGGUGGCCAAGGACAGAAUUUGUUCCAAUAGGGCGUCUUCUGUCAUCUUUGUGGCAAAGAAGGACACUCCGUGGUACGUUGUUAUAAGCGCUUUGAUCAUAGCUUUACAGGACCACCACAGCGAAGCGCCUCAUCAGCAACCAGUUCGUACGGCAUCGACACAAACUGGUAUAUGGACUCGGGAGCAACAGAUCAUAUCACUAGAGAGCUUGAGAAGCUGACUGCUCGAGACAAGUAUAAUGGAGGUGACCAAGUCCAUGCUGCGAACGGGACAGGUAUGGAGAUUUCUAAUGUUGGUCAUAGCACUUUGUAUUUCCCAAAUAAAGAGUUGCAUCUCAAAAACAUCCUCCAUGUCCCUAGAUCCCAAAAGAGUCUUGUUUCAGUAACUUGUUUUACUAAAGACAAUGAUGUUUUUCUUGAGUUUCACCCCCAUUAUUUUUCUAUCAAGGAACAGGCGACGAAGAAAACUCUCCACAGCGGUAGAUGUGAAAAGGGGCUCUAUCCUUUGCGCCUCUCCAACAAUACCUCUUCCCAAAAUAAAUAGGCUUUAAGUGCUCUCAAGCCAACGGUCUCCCUGUGGCACUACCGUUUGGGACAUCCUGCUAGCCAAGUAGUCAAACAAGUCAUUAGUCAUCAUCAUCUUCAUUGUAUUCAUGAGUCAAAUAGUGAGAGAGUUUGUGAUGCUUGUCAACAAGGCCAGAGUCACCAGUUGCCUUAUCCUAAGUCUGUUAGUGUGUCCUCUCAUCCUAUGGAUUUAGUGUUUUCUGAUGUAUGGGGUCCUGCCCCAACUUCAGUGGGUCGAAACAAUUAUUAUGUCAGCUUUAUUGAUGAUUAUAGCAAGUUUACUUGGAUCUACUUCCUUCGACACAAAUCUGAAGUUUUUCAAUGUUUUCGCAAUUUCCAGAAUUUAGUCGAGAGACAAUUUGGCCGCAAAAUUCUUGCUAUUCAGACAGAUUGGGUUGGAGAAUAUCAAGCGCUCCACUCUUUCUUUCAACGGAUAGGAAUAGAACACCAUGUUUCUUGUCCGCAUGCUCAUCAACAGAACGGUUCUGCCGAACGAAAACAUCGUCAUAUCGUCGAGAUGGGGCUCACCCUUCUUGCUCAUUCAUCCCUUCUUCUCAAGUUUUGGGACGAAGCCUUUUCCACCGCAGUGUUUCUCAUUAAUAGACUUCCGUCCAGGGUUAUACAUGGUGAAACACCUCUCGAACGUCUCUACAAACAAAAACCAGAUUACAGUUUCUUUCGUACCUUUGGGUGUGCGGUGUGGCCAAAUUUACGACCCUACAAUGCUAGGAAGCUACAAUUCCGAUCAAAACAGUGUGUCUUCCUAGGGUACAGUAAUUUGCACAAGGGCUUCAAAUGUCUUGAUCCUAAAGAGGGCCGCAUAUAUAUCUCUCGGGAUGUGGUGUUUGAUGAACAUGUUUUUCCCUUUGCCUCCCUUCAUUCAAAUGCGGGUGCCCGUCUUCGUGCUGAGUUUUCUCUCUUACCUGAUAUUCUUAAAAACCCAUCAUCUACAUUUGGGGAUGCACUGUUGCAUGAUCAGCAUUUAGUUUCUCCUACUAACCCAUCACCAAGCUUUGGUCUAUCUUCUGAUGAUGCUACAGGAACAAAUCCGGCGCAAGAGGGCUCAGAAACGGCGCCUGGGCAUCGACAUUUCAUGUGCUCCCCGCACAGCAACAGCACGAGAUGCGAGGGGGAUAUGACGGCGACAGCUGAUGGCCUGCCCAGCGCAUCUACAUCGGGAUCGGUGGGUCAGAACCUGCCGACCGCGUCGCCCGCACAAACCCAGGUGCCAGCGCCGUCGCCCGGAUCUUCUGCGGCGGACACACCACCACACGUGGCUGUUGAUGGCUCCUUCCCUACGCAGACGGAUCCGCUCGCACCGGGGACAACAUCCGGCACAGAGUCCUUGGCGAUUCUAUCGCCCGGAUCCUCUACGGCAUCUGAAUCUGGUGGCACGGGCAUUAUUUCCACCGGUGUUGAUUCAUUGCCAGCUCCUGCCCCGUCUCCUCCACACCGCCCAGUUACACGAGCUCAACACGGCAUCAGCAAGCCUAAGAUCUACACUGAUGGGACAAUCCGCUAGGGUAUGCAAGCAACCACUAGUGAAGCUGAACCAUUGACACUUGAAGAUGCACUUGGAAAUUCAAAGUGGCGGGGUGCGAUGGACAGUGAACAUCAAGCGCUAAUGAAAAAUCGUACGUGGCAUCUUGUACCACGUCCCAAAGAUAAGAACAUCAUAGGAUGUAAAUGGUUCUAUAAAAUCAAGCGCAAGGCAGAUGGCACUAUUGACCGGUACAAAGCACGACUUGUAGCAAAGGGAUUCAAGCAGCGAUAUGGCAUUGAUUAUGAGGACACUUUUAGCCCAGUUGUCAAAGCAGCUACCAUACGACUGAUCUUGUCCGUGGUAGUAUCAAAGGGAUGGUCAUUGCGACAGCUGGACGUUCAAAAUGCUUUUCUCCAUGGAAUUCUUGAGGAGGAGGUGUACAUGCAUCAACCUCCUGGAUAUACUGAUGAGAAGCAUCCCAGCUACGUCUGCAAAUUGGAUAAAGCACUAUAUGGCCUGAAGCAAGCACCUCGGGCUUGGUAUGCGCGGUUGUGCAAGAGACUGGAAGAUCUCGGGUUCAAAGCAUCAAGGGCAGAUACAUCCCUAUUCUAUUACAAUCGUGGUGGACACAGUGUUUUUGUUUUGGUAUAUGUUGACGAUAUAAUUGUUGCCAGUUCUUCUGAACAAGCCACAGAAACUCUCCUCAAGGAUUUGCAGCGGGACUUUGCUCUUAAGGACCUUGGGGACUUGCAUUUUUUCCUUGGAAUUGAAGUUCAGAAAGCACCUGAUGGAAUCGUGCUGUCUCAAACACGAUAUGCUACUGAUGUUCUUAAAAGAGCAGGGAUGGACAAAGCCAAACCGGCCGUUACACCACUGGCUACCUCGGAAAAACUCAGCUUGACCGAUGGAGAACCGCUUGGUCCUGAUGACAGUACUCGAUACCGAAGCCUGGUGGGUGCAUUGCAAUAUUUAACCCUCACUAGACCUGACAUUUCCUUUGCGGUAAACAAGGUAUGCCAGUUCCUUCAUGCCCCAACCACGGUGCAUUUUAGUGCUGUCAAAAGAAUUCUUCGAUACGUUCGUGGCACACUUGGUGUUGGUCACAAAAUCAAGCGGUCCAAGACUAUGCUUAUCAGUGCUUUCUCCGAUGUGGACUGGGCAGGGUGCAUUGAUGACCGUCGAUCCACCGGGGGAUUUGCUGUGUUCUUGGGUGCUAAUUUAGUUUCAUGGACAGCCAGGAAACAAGCGACUGUAUCUCGGUCAUCUACUGAGGCAGAGUACAAAGCACUUGCGAAUGCCACAGCGGAGAUGAUGUGGAUCCAGAAGCUGCUAGGUGAAUUAAAGGUUCCACAUCCACCGGCUGCUCGACUAUGGUGUGAUAAUCUCGGUGCAAAAUAUCUCUCAGCGAACCCAGUGUUUCAUGCUCGGACAAAGCACAUAGAGAUUGAUUUUCAUUUUGUUCGUGAAAGAGUAGCACAACGGUUGCUUGAUGUGCGAUUCACAAGCACGGCAGAUCAAUUGGCGGAUGGGUUCACGAAAGCUAUUCCAGCGUCCAAGCUGAAAGACUUUAGAACCAAUCUUAACCUUGUGUAUGCCUAAGAUUGAGGGGGAGUGUUAGAAUAUAGAAUAUGUAUCAUACAUGGUAAUGUAUUAUAACGUAUCUUGGUAGGACAUAUAAGCCAGAUACGACUAGGACUCUGUACCUAGACCUUCUAUGUACAUGCCUCCUGAGGGCUUGUCUCAGACGUAUAUAAACACGCACCCAGGGCCCUGGACGGGUAUCCUGGUUUCUCUAGUUUUACAAUCAGAAACAGUAAAGUAACAGCCGACAGAGGGAUAUAGCCCACAGUAGAGUGAUUAUAACAAAAGUAGACCAGAGUCUGAAAAAAUAUAUAUCAAAUAUAAUGGAUACUAUUGAUGAUGAAGGUUAGAGCUUAGCAAAAUUAAAGACAAGCUGUUUCUGAUUUUUAUGAGAAUUUCCAUGGUUUAGGUGUGAUGAAGAUUAAGGUGUCAGCUCCAUCAGAAACCUCCAAUUAGUAAUUUUAAGAUGAGAGCGUGGAGUGUUAAAAUGGUUGGUGCUUAUAGCUCAAUAAUUAGUUAGUUAGUUAAUUGUAGAGUCCAAUGAUUUACUUCUUCUUGGUCCCGUCGAAAUAUACGACUGAGGUGAGCCAAAAAGUCAAUACAGGUCGAGUUGAUGCAUGUGAAUGCAACUAAACCUUUUUUAAUUUGUUGUUGAAUAAAUCAUCAAAGCACGGAAAAUUAGCUACAGUUUGCUUUUCCAGGGAACUACUGAACCAGAACAGAGAAUGAUGUGGAGACACAACACACCUGUUGAAAGAGAUCAACGGCUGCCUUUUGUUGGAGACAUUUGAUGCUGCACACUAGAUCCUCUGCGCCUGCACAGUGUACGGCAACGCUUUCUUCUGUGGUAACGAUGACGAUGCAGCUUUCACUUGUUGCAGAUAUCAACUGAGCAUCUUCUAUCAUCUUCCAUUCUUCCCUUGACUUCACCUCAUCAAUAACGACAAGGCACCGAAAGUUACGCAGGAAAUACUGGCAUCUUUGGAUGGGAGUUUCGCCUUCGAGUAAUCUUGAAGGGAUAUCAGAGAGCAGGCACCGGCAAAAGCCCAUAAGAUUGUCCGGUUGGUACAUACGGAGUAUCCUCAUAUAUUGAAAGUCCUGCAUCCUAUAGCAGACAUUGGUGACGACAGCUGUUCUCCCUGAACCAGGAAGUCCCCACACGCAUAUCACACGAGGUUUGCCGUUGUGUGGUCCUCUACGCUUUACUAGGUUGAAAACUUUCUUGAAUUCUGCGUCGCGGCCAACAAGGCGACUGUUCUUCCACAUUUUUUCGAUUUCUUCGAUUGAGACAAUACCAGUUACAUUCGUCGCACCCUAUAAAUUAAAGGAGAUCAAUGUCAACAAGCAAUGCAAACCAGAAGAUAAUAUUAUAAGAUAAUAUAGCCUGGCGACAUUAUGGAUUGUGACCGCUUGACUACGUUUUGUGCUACCUCAUGUUCUGUAAAUGCUUUUUAUAGUACUGAGUAAGUGACAGCAUAUAGCAUUCUAAUUUUACAUUAUGCUAUUAAUUUACUUCCCUCGGAUUAAUUGGAAUUGGGCUGCAGCCUGCAGGACAUUGAGUAGAUAGACACAAUAUGUACGAAACUUAGGCACACAGGUGAACUUGGCUAAGCCUAAAGGUAGUCAACAAAACAUAUUUAUAAAGACAAAAUCAAUUUUGCCACUUGAUUCUAACAAAUAAAAUAUGCAUGCGCUACACACUGACCCACUUGUGAUUUUUUUUUGUGCAAAUAAAAGUAUAUGGUGAUAUGUAUUUGAUCGCUAUCUAAUGCGUUGUUUAACAAAGCUCAUAGAUUUCCUAGCUAGCUAGAUCUGGUCACCUAAAGCUCUAGAAAAUCCUAGAUCUUGCAUUGAGCUGCAAAAUCUGGAUCUAGAGCUGCAGUCGUAGUCGUAUUAAGUACUGUACUUAAUGACUCAUUUUUGUUUAUAUUUUAGAUUAAAUAUAAUAUAAUUAAACUACUUUAGUUUGGAGCCUGUUUAGCAGGGCUGGACCUGCGGCUCCGGCUCUGGUUCCUUCAAAGAAGUUCUGCCAAACGUUUUUUUUCUAGACAAACCGUUUCUUAGUAAAAGUUAGAGAAGUCGGAACCGUUUUGACAAAGUUACAAUUAUGACUUCAACAAAACGGCUCCAGCUCCUCUAGAGAAAUCUCUCGUAAAAGAAGCGCAGCCAAAACAAGCCUACAUGUCCAAGCAUAGAUAUCGGAGGUACUCCCUCCGUUCCGAAAAGAGUGACGUUUUUAACUUUCAGAUAUCGUGUUUGACCAUUCGUCUUAUUUAAAAAUUUUAUGUAAAUUAUAAAAUAAAUUAAUCAUGGGUAAAGUAUCUAUAAUGAUAAAAUAAGUUUUAACAAAAUAUAUAAUGUUUAUGUAAAAAAAUUGAAUAAGACGAAUGGUCAAAUAAGAUGUCUGAAAUUCUAAAACGAUACUCUUUUUGGGACGGAUGGAGUAGGUAUUAGAGCGCUGUGCCAAUGGGUCCUAAUAAUAAUAAUAAGGAAAAAAAGUGCCGACAAUCGAUCUUACCGUAUUGAAAAAGACGCAGAUAGACUGACUAGCGGAGAGCCGCCGGAGCUCCGACACCCGGUACGGCUUCCCUGUGCAUAGGCUUGCGAUUUCACGGUGGCGUGUGGACACAACGAUACGGCUGCCCUUCUUCUCGCCCGGCACCCGCAUCAGGUACGGCCUGAUGGAAUCCCACUGAUCCAUGGCGGAUAGGUCUUCAAGGACGAUGAGGUACGGCUGCGCCUCGUUGAUCUUCCGCACAAGCUCCUUUACGAGAUCUCCAGCCGAGGUUUCCGUCCACGACAAGGCAUCUCUCCCUUUCUUUAGACGGCGGUAAAGCAGCCACCACAGGGCUGCGUCUUCGUCUUGUUGGUCUUGUUGACAAGAGUUUGCGUAGAACUGAACCACCAAGCUCCUGAUGAGCUCAGGGAUGUUGAUAGGAUGCAUCACCUUCACCCAGGCACGGGAUCUGAAGCGCUUAUGUACUUCUGGUUCAUCAUACAUGCUCCUAAUGAUGGACGUUGUCCCAAAAUCGUCUCCUGUACUUCCCCACACUGAGAUCACUUGAAUAUCGUUGCUUCCCCCCAUGACCAACUUGGUGAGGUCACCAACACUUCUGUACCUCGCCGCUGUGUGCCUUGCCUCAACAAGGAUGUCAAAUCCUCUUGUGCCAGUGCCGCCGGGCCCCGGCACCACCUCCUCCUGCGGCGGCGGCGUGGGGAACUUGGAGCCUGCAGAGUCGUCACUGGUGAUGGUGAUGGCCCCGUACCGCUUGUUCCUCUGGCUCAAUUCCUCGACGCGGGCCUUGAGCAGUUUUAUUUUGGUGACUGCUUUAUCCACGGGCAGCGCUGCUGCUUCCUCUUUGCUGCAGCUGCAUGAGGGACGCAACCGGAGCCACCAUCGCCUCUUAUCUGUGUCCAGAUGGCGGAUGAACUCAAUACAGUCUUCAAGAUCAUGGGACAAGUAGCGGGCCUGCCUCACCCAGGUCCUCCCCAUAUUGGUCUUCACUGCCGCCUCCCUGUCGGCGGAGCCGAGGAAAGACUCCAUCAUCUCGAACUCGUCUACGAUGAACAUCAGAUCACGCUUCACGAUCUGCCACUGCUCCGCCUCUUCCUUUAUCGCGGACCUGACCUUGUUCACCACCGCCUCCACUGCUACCUUGGAAAUCCCCUCCAUUAUUGCUCUCUUCGCUUCGCCUCUCUAUGCUAUGUUGUUUGGUUGUGUGGAACAAGAGGUAUUGCUAAGCCGUGGAGUCGUCAUAUAUAUCUUUUAUAUAAUGAACAUCGCAACUUUUUUUUAGCUGGCAAUUUUUUUUCUUUCGUUUAUAUUUGAUAAUUAUUGUCCAAUUAUAAACUAAGUUCAAAAGAGUCGUCUCAUAAAUUACAGAUAAAUUGUGUAAUUAGUUAUUUUUUAUGUAUAUUUAAUAUUUCAUGCAUAUACCGUAAAAUUUGACGUGAUAUAAAAUCUAAAAAAGUUUUUGGAUUUUAUGGUGAACUAAACAAGACCUAAGACCCACCAACCAAGUAAAAUGAACUGCAGGGUAGCAAUUUCAUUUUAUUUGGCAAUUAGUGUCCAUCAUAGACUAAUUAUAUUCAAAAGAUUCGUCUCACAAAUUACUCUUUAAUUAUGUUUUUAGUUUAAUAAAUAGUCUAUAUUUACUAUUUCAUGCAUGUGUCCAAAUAUUUAAAUAGGGCAGCUGCUGUUACACUAACCCAACAAAGCUGGAGCCGGCGCAUGCCCCACCAAAGAGGCCCUGCUGGGUAGGCGUUGCUGUAGCAAAAAUCCGAUACAGUCCGCGGCUUCAGCUAUUGAUAUGGAUGGGAGUAGGCCUGGGCAUUCAGUCAAUUUCGCGAAAUAAUUAUCAAGAAUUUUGGUUUCAGUAAAAUUUAACCAAUCUUUUUUGCCGAAGCGCCUAUCAAAAAAUGUAUCUAUAUAACUUACAUAUUGAACUUUCAGUUAAAUUUUAGUUUAAGUAGAAUCAAUCAAAAUCAGUUUCGGUUAAAUCGGUUCCAUCUACUUACAUAUUGAACUUUCAUAGGAGAUAGUACAGCCAUAUAAUUGUAUCGAAAAGCACCCAUCAAGGCCUUGCUUACUUCUAAAAAUUUUUGCAACACUAGUACAGGGAUAUAUUGUACAAGCGGUUGGUAACCUAUUUCUACUAGCAUUUUUCAGCACCGCCUGCGCUGGAGGCCAAUAGAAAUGGGUCAAUUCCACAUGCGGUUCCUUGUGAUCUCAAAUAGAACCUGUAUGCCCUAUGAUCUCAAAUAGAAUCACCAUGUUUUUCUCAAACUCUCACUAUGCUUAAGUAUGCAUGCAUAGCUCGAUUUACAUCUCUAGCAGUUUGAUGAAUGGAGCAUAGCUUUCUUUCGGGUAAUCUGCAGAGUCUAGUACCAACACCCUUCCCUCCUUGGGAUAAAUGAUGAAGAUCCAGUGGUUUCUGCUCGAAUCAAAUUCAUGAUGCAUUUGUGCAAUGGAAUAGUUUAGAUAGAUAAAUGUAAACUUACACUUACCCAAAGUGGUACGGGGCCACCACCAACGGUUUCCUAUCUUGAAACUUUAUUAGUGAAUGUCCAAUAUAGAAGGCGUAUUUGUCUUCAAAAUCAAGUUUCAACUUUCGGAGUUUCUCAUCCCGUUCUGCACCUUCCAAACCCUGUAGCUCUGUGUUGCCAUCCCCAAUUCAGAAUGUGUGCCGAUCUUUGGCUAUAUCUAUUGGGCAGAGAUAGCCAUUCCUUUCAUCGACACAAUAAUGAAAGUCUGAACCAAAAUACAAAUCUUGUUGAUCAUAUAACAUUCUGCAAGGCACAAGCAUGUCACAUAUUGAAAAUUGAUGCAACUACAAUGUGUCUAACUAUGUAACACUUACAAUGCAAAUAUCGUUACGAUCUGUACGUCUAGCAUCUCGUGGUUCAUCAGUCCCCACAUGUCAUCGAAUGUAAGCAUGCAUUUGUUAGUACUCUGGCUAAGAAAUGUUAUUUGUGGUAUGCACAUGGUGGUGGUGUCGAUGCCAGCAGAAGAGGCUCUCAUGUACCAGUCAUGAAACCUUUUUAUACCACUUGGUUUCUUCAAGAGUUUGGCCCGACUGAGUAGAGACUUUCCCCACACAUACUUUUUAGGGAUAUGCUUGUAGUCUUCUGCAAUUGGCACCUUGAAUUUGGCAGGAGUUAUGACCUUAGGCGCCGGCACCUCUGACUUUGCUAGCUUAGAAAUCUCAUGCUCUUCUACUGUGCGUUUCAAAGCAAUGUCUCACAAAAAAUCUCACUUGCCCAGCUGAUUUUUUCUUCAGCUCGUAUGGUGAAGUGUAUCAGAAAAUUCUUAUUUGGCACCUUUGGUGGCUCACUUCUUGGUUCUGGAUCUUUGAGUUGUGGGGAAGGGGUGGAAUUGAAUGGUGGUGGAGAUUGUGUUGACUGUGGGGUAGAAAGAUCAUGGAGAGAAGAUGGUUGAUGGACAGGAAAAACAUGGAGAGGCGAUUCUGGUGGGUCGGGAAGAGAAUAGGGAGGUGAAGACGGUGGGUUCGGAAGAGGACCAACAUGAGCUGACGACUCCUAGGUGAGUGUCUAAAAGGUCCUUGAUUGGUUUUGGUAAUUGAGUGACAACUUAGGUGGACUAAUAGUGUUUAUGUGAGAUACACAGGAGAUUAGUCCACAGGUGAUUAUGUGAUGAUGGAGGAGCUCAUUGCACAUGAGACAUGACAUGGAGUCAUGUGACCAAGGUGGAGAAGAUCAAGAUGAGGCUUGGCUUGAUGGACCGGUUGCAAGAGUGAAGGGCAAGUCGGAGGCUUUGAAGCGAGGGACCGCAUGUGACGGUGAAGCUUGAGCAAGACUUGGCGCCGAUGGACCGAGGCAACGGUGAAGAGCAAGUGAGGUCAAGAUCGAUGAACCAAUACGGUCACGUGAUAAUAUGAAGUGGAUCAUAUCAUUUGGUGAUUGGUUGGUGCAUGUGUUGCAUCAACAUCGGAGGAGUUGAAAUGGAAAGCGCAAGGCAAAGGUAUAACCUAGGGCUUUUCUAUUUCACCGGUCAUAGGUGUGCAGAGAAGUUUAUGACCAGAUUUAGGAUAGAUGGCCGUACUAUCAAGAGGGGCAAACUUGUUUGCAUAUCGAUCAUCUAGUGCCACUUGAGCGAUCUAACUUUGCAUACGUGUUAGGAUCGAGUGGCGUGGCAAGUUUGAGAGGAUCCUUUGGGAAAAUGUUUGUGAAAAUGCUAACACACAUGCACAAGGUGGUGUACACUUGGUGGUGUUGGCACAUUUACAAAGGAGGUGGAGUUCCUAGGGUUGAGAGGGGUGUGGGUUCCUCUCUCCCUCCCGCCGAGCUUGCUCGGCGGGAUUCGGCGCUUUUGAGAAAAUUAAGUGUAUAUUUUCUAUUGCGCCGAUGGGAAAUUUAGAGAAGUCGCGGGAGUGUUUUCUCACUGAGAAACACUCACCGAACGCUGAGUGCGGAAGCACCGGACGCUGGCUUCAGAGUCCGGUGUGCUUGACCCUGCUAGGGUUGAGCACCGGACGCUCUCUAAGUGCGUCUGGUGGGGUGCGUCCGGUGUGAGGACGUUUUGUGACCCUCGCUCUCUGCGCAUGGGUCCGGUGAGCACCGGACGCUACCGGUGCUUAGCGUCCGGUGACCCUGCAGGUCUACGGAGCUCUCUGCGCACGAGUACGGUGUGCACCGGAUGCGUCCGGUGUGAACUAGUUGAGCGUCCGGUGGUGCUGAGUCAGGUGCGAGCGCGUGGUAGCUGUUGGCGGCAACGGUCGAGUUCAAACGGCUAGUGACACGUGGCUGACGCCUGAGCACCAGACGCUGAGAGUUGAGCGUCCGGUGGCUCCGUGUGAGCGUCCGGUGCCCACGUCUUUUGCCCAGUGAAGGGGCAACGGCUAGUUUAGCCCUUGGGGCUAUAAAUAGAAGUGGUGGCCGGCCUUGGCUGGUGCUGAGCACCCUUGAGACUUAGUGUCCAUGCUUGGGGAGUGCUAAGAAAGCCUCUAACUCACUUGUGCUUGCAAGAGUGCGAAUCAUAGCGAGUGAGUGAUUCUAGUGCGUUGCAUUGAGAGAUUGCAUCGAGUGGCACUAGGUGUUCGUGUUGCAAGCCGGUGGUGCUUGCUACUCUUGGAGGUUGCCACCUCCUAGACGGCUUGGUGGCUUGUGACUCCGUCGAAGCACGCAAGGAGAUUGUGCGGUGCUCCGGAGAAGAGAUUGUGAGGGGUACAGUGCUCACCCCGCGGGGAUCGCAAAGAGCAACUCUAGUUGAGCGAGACGUGAAGAGCGACAAGUGGUCCGGCUGGGUCAAGUGCUAGAGCUUGUGGUAAGCACUCCAUGUGGGAGAGUGUGACUUGCGGGUCACCACUAGCAAGAGGACCGGCGGCAACCUUGGAGCUUGUCUCAACGGGGACGUAGCUUGGUGGCAACCAAGUGAACCUCGGGAGAAAAUCAUCGUGUCAACAUUGUUCUUUCCGUUGGUUUGCAAAGUCCCUAACACAAGCUUGUUCUUACAUUCAUAUACUUGUGCUUGUGUAGUUGCUCUUGUAAUUAGUUAGCUUGUGUAGCUUACUAGUUACCUUCUUGCUUGUGUAGCUAGAAGUAGUUCCCUUGCGUGACUAAUUUGGUUUGUGUAACCUUGUUAGUCACUUUGCUUAGUUUGUGUAGCUAAGUAAUUUGUGCUCUUUAAUUUGGCAUUGGUUGCCUUGUUAUUGAGCUUUGCUAGUGAGCUUAGGAGCUUUAUGCUUUUGCUUACUAGUUGUGUAGGAGCUCUCCGUUUUGCAAAGUACUAGUGGCAUAGGUUUGUGUGACCUUGCUUCUAGAAUUGGUUAGAUGAGCUCUUGCUAAGGUAGCACCUUGUUUGCUUGUUUAGGAUCUUUUACAAGGUGCUAGAGAACUUAGAUAGAGUGGUGUAGUCUUGGCUAGACCGAUAGUUUUAAUUCCGCACUUAUUUCGGUUAGCCGGUGCGAUAAAUUUUAGAAAGGAUUAUUUACCGCCCCUCUAGUCCGCCAUCUCGACCCUUCAGUGGCAUCUCUUGAGAGGGUAGUGGUGGCUCCCUCAGUUGCAUGUCCCUCUAAGGCCAAAUGAUGAAAUUGUUUAUCGCCUGUUCGAGUUUCAUAAUGUCCUCAAGACCAGAGAUGUCUAGAAUCUCGUCCUCAUAUCCUUGGACCACGGUCAAUACCUCUAAUCUAUAGUAGUCUUUAGGAAUCUCAGCACUAUGGUAUUUAGGUCCUCCUGGAAUCGCUUUGCCCGUUGCUACUUCCCUUGUACGAUGAUUGUUAUGUUAUGACUAGGGAGCAAGGCAUAGAAGUAACAAUGUCGUCAACUGGAUAGUGAUUCUUGUAUUUGCCGUAGAUGUGACACUCCUUGGAAUGAUUAUUUCACUCUGUGACACCACUAGAACUAGCUGCAUUUGGAGAGCCUGAGUGCUGAUAUGUUGAUUUGACACCGCACUCGCAAGUUUCUGCAUCAACUCAGGAGGAGGGUUUUCUAGCAACUUCCCCAUCAUCUCUUGGAAGUCUUUCUUAGGCCUUGUUUAGUUCCCACCGAAAUCCAAAAAGUUUUCAAAAUUCUCCGUCACAUCGAAUCUUGCGGCACAUGCAUGAAGCACUACAUAUAAACAAAAACAAAAACUAAUUAUACAGUUUGCCUGUAAAUCGUGAGAUGAAUCUUUUGACCCUAGUUAGUCUAUGAUUGGACAAUAUUUACUACAAACAAACGAAAGUGCUACAGUAGUGAAAUCUAAAAAGAUUUUGCAUCUAAACAAGGCCUUAGCCUCUUCCUGAAAAUAAGUUGCCAUUUGUUCCUUGUACCGAUCAUGUUUCUUUUACUCAUUUUCCACUGAGGGCCGAAUCCAUCCUUCCAUCCUUCUUUGGAUGAGAUGCCUCGAACACGGCCAGGAUGCUCGGGGUUACGAGUAAGCCUCGGUGUUCGGGUUACCCAAAUUUUUCGGGUUGGGUAAAUCGGGUAAUUCAAAAUUCGGAUAAUAAAAAUUGUUACCCGAUAUUAGUCUAAAAAAACAAUACCCGCAAUUUUGGGUACCCGAUAAUUCGGGUUCGGGUUUGGGUAUUCCCGAUUUACCUGAAUUUUCAGAAAACAACACACUACACAAAAUUUUCAUAGCAAUUUAUAUAUAAUUUCAGCAGCAAUUUGUAUAGAAUUUCAAUAGCAUUUUGUAGAGAAAAAUAUAUUACGGUCACUUAUUCAAACAAAGAGAAUUAUAUUCUAAUAAAUUGAUAAGUUCUAAUGUUUAACUAACACAACAUGUGAUAAAUACAAAAGACAUACACAAAUGUUUGGGUAACUCGGGUAGUUUCGGGUACCGGGGGAUAUUACCCGAAUUACCCAAACUAAUUUUUGGUAAUCAAAAUUGCUAUCCAAAUUUAGGAUUGGGUACCUCGGGUUUGGGUAAUUCGGGUCCAGGUUCGGGUAAUUCGGGUACGGGUAAUGGCAUGUGUAAAUGUUACAUUGCAUAACCACAGACGGUUGUUACAUUUACACAGACGGUUGGCUUAAGCCAUGCACCUGUUGAAAGCCCAAGUUUGGUUUUGGUAAUUAUUGACACCAAGUUGCUAAUGCCUUGUGUUUAAGUGAUUUGAGUUAGGCAUAGCAACACAUGUGAUGAAGGUGCACGGUGGCAUGGAAAGGUGGCCACAUGAUCACAAAGGGAUGAAGCAUGAAGUGGAGAUCAUGGUGAUAGACGAGGAGCAAAGUUAUCAAGGCAAAGAUAUAAACAUAGGGUUUUACUUUUGCCGGUCUAAGAUGAGUAGAGAAGUGAUUGACCGGGUUUAGGAUAGAUAGCCGACUAUCAAGAGGGGAAAUCACGGUCAUCUCUCGAAUCAAGUGCUACUAGGUCCAUAUCUUGAGCAUAUGCAUUAGGAUCUAGUAAAGUGCUAACUUAACUCCUUUGGUGAAAAUGUUUGUGAAAAGCUAACACACUUGCACUUUGGUGGUGGACACUUGUUGGUGUUAGCACAUUUACAAAGUAGGGUUGAGAGGGGUGUGGGUUCCUCUCUGCGCAAGCUCGGCGGGAUUCGGCGCUUUUGAGAAAAAUAAGUGUAUAUUUUCUAUUGCGCCGGUGGGAAUUUUAGAGAAGUCGCGGGAGUGUUUUCUCACUGAGAAACACUCACCGGACGCUGAGUGCGGAGGCACCGGACGCUGGCCUCAGCGUCCGGUGAGCUUGACCCUGCUAGGGUUAAGCACCGGACGCACUCUGAGAGCGUCCGGUGGUUAGCGUCCGGUGUGAGGGGUUUUUUGUAACCCUCUCUGCGCACGAGUCCGGUGAGCACCGGACCGUCCGGUGCCUAGCGUCCGGUGAGGUCGCGAGUUUGACAAACUCUCUGCGCACGAGUCCGGUGAGCACCGGACCGUCCGGUUCCCAUCGUCCGGUGUGUUGCAGGUAGCAGUUAGAAACUGACACGCGAAAUCGAGGAAGGACACGUGGCCAACUCUAGUGCACCGGACGCAGGGUGUCGAGCGUCCGGUGCUCACUUAGUAGCGUCCGGUGCCCCCGAUUUCAGCCCAGUGAAAACAGCCAACGGCUAGUUUCUUUGAGGGGCUUAUAAAUUGAGGGUGGCCGGAUUUGGGAGCUCAUCUCUUGCACAUUUGAUUACUUGGGACAUACAUUGAGCUAGAGAACACUCCCUCCACUCAUCUCCUUGCUUGAUUGCUCAUCCUAGUGAGAUUGAGUGAGAUUCAAGUGCAUUGCUUUGAGAGUUGCAUUUAGUGGCACUUGAUUCUUGAGUUUGCUGCGGAUUUCUUGUUACUCUUGGGUGUUUCCCGACGCCCUAGACAUCUUGGAGCAGCGGUGGUGUUGAGCUCGUGAUUGGAGAUUGUUUCGAGCCUCACCAAGUGAUUUGUGAGGGGUUCUUGAGCCUUCCCCGCGGGUGAUCGCAAAUUGGUUACUCUAGUGGAUUGCUCGUGGCUUGGAGGAUCCCCAUCUUGUGAGUGGAUGUGCGACACCCGCUGAGGGUUUGGCUUUGGAUUGCCAAUUAGCUCGUGAUCCAUCAAGUGGGUGUAUCGCCACAACGAGGAGUAGCUUGCCGGGAAGCAAGUGAACCUCGGUAAAAAAUCUUGUGUCAUCUCUUGCCGAGGUCUUUCUUGUGAUUGUGAGUGAUUGGUUGGAUAUAUCUCUACUCUACAACGUUGGUAUAACAAUCACUCUCCACUCCUUUACUUACUUGUUUAUCUUGCUAGUUGUUUAGCUUGUUUAGUUUAGUCUUCUUGUUUAGGAGUGUAGCAAGUUUAUAGUUGUGCUUUCUUGUUGUAACUUGUGUUUAGCUUUCUUGCUAGACUUGUGUAGGUGGCUUGCAUAGCUUAGUUGUGCUAGUGCUAGAAUAGCGUCGCCUUUUGUUUUACUAAUCAACUUGUCUAGUUGAAGUUUGUAGAAAUUUUAAAUAGGCUAUUCACACCCCCCUUCUAGCCAUUUGGACCUUUCACCUGUGAUAAUGCAUCUUCAUAAACAGUUGGCAGCUCUGACACCGCCCUUUUUAUACCACAGGCGCGUGAUAACUAGAACCGCCUGUGGUAUAAAAAGGGGGCGUCGUCGUUGUACUCUUUUCUACUAUUGCAAAAUAAGAACCGUAGCCGUUUCGUUUGUAUUUGACAAAUAUUGUCCAAUCAUAAACUAACUAGGCCCAAAAAAUUCGUCUCGCAAAUUACAGGUAAACUAUAUAAUUAGUUAUUUUUUUUAUCUAUAUUUAGUGCUCCAUGCAUGUAUCCAUGAUUCGAUGUGAUGGAGAAUAUGAAAGUUUUUACAAAAUAUUUUAGGCCCAAGAAAUGCAUCUCGUAAGGAAAAGCAACGGUGGAUACUUCUAGCCAAUAUAUAAUAGAUGUCUAGGCUUUGUUUAGUUCGCGAAAAGAAAGUUUUUAGGUGUACAUAUCGGAUAUGUCGUUACACAUUUGAAGUAUUAAACAUAGAUUAAUAAAAAAAAUUAUAUAGCUCGUCUAAAACUACGAGACAAAUUUAUUAUGACUAUUAAUCUGUCAUUAGCAUAUGUAGGUUAUUGUAGCAGUUAUGACCAGACUAAUUGGGCUUAAAAGAUUCGUCUCGCGAUUUACAACUAAACCAUGUAAUUAGUUUUUUCAUUUAUAUUAAAUACUCCAUGCAUAUAUCCAAAUAUUCGAUGUGAUAAGCUAAAAAUAUUUGGAUGGGGAACUAAACAAGGCCCUACUUAAAAGUUUAGAGACCCAAAAGCGUUGAUGGAUCUAGGUGACAUCUCCACAAAAGUUAAGAUCUCUAAUGCAUUUUAUUCAUUAAAUAUUGAUGGAAUGUCUCUCAAAUUACAAAUAAAUUAUACAAUUAAUUAUUUUUUAUCUAUAGCUCUAUAUAUGUGUCCAGGGCCGGAUCUAGAAUCACCAUUUAGAGAGGGCUAAUUAGUAAAGUGUUGCUUGGGCUAGUUGUAGGAUGAGCUAUCUUGAGCCGAACAUUAGGGAUUUUUAUGGACUUCGGAAGUUUUGCUUAUAGAAAAUUUGGGCUGCGCCUUGGGCUACAGCUCCCCUAGCCGGGGGCCUAAAUCUACCUUUGUAUGUGCCGUAAGAUUCAAAGCUCCCCUAGCUCAGGGCCUGAAUCUAUUUUUGUAUGUGCUGUAAAAUUUAAUAUUACGAAAAGUCUUAAAAAAUUUUGUAAAAUCUUUUGGAUCUAAACAGCCCCUCGGAGUUGCUCUAGGUAUGGACGCUCGUGGCGACGACCUUCACCUGGCAUAUGCAUGCAGCAGCGGCCAUGAGAGUUUGGGUUGUCCCUCGGUUCUGUUCACCUCAAACCGUCCUUGAUCUCACUGUCGUGUCUCGUCACGUUCACACACUACACUCUCUCUCGAGCGCGCGCAGGGUCGCACUCGCAUGCUCGUGACUCGUGAGGCCGCGAGGAGUAUGCAGGCAGGCUGUGACAGUGACUAGUAUUAUGGCCCGCUGCUGUGACAGUGACUAAUAUUAUGGCCCAACGCUGCGGAAAGGCCUUGUUUAGUUACGAAAAGUGAAAACUUUUCAGUACUGUAGCACUUUCGUUUGUUUGUGAUAAAUAUUAUCUAAUUAUAGACUAACUAGGAUCAAAAGAUUCGUCUCGUGAUUUACAACUAAACUGUUUAAUUAGUUUUUGUUUUCGUUUAUAUUUAAUGUUUCAUGCAUGUGCCACAAGAUUCGAUGUGACGGGGAAUCUUGAAAACUUUUUGGUUUUCGGAGUGAAGUAAACAAAGCCAAAGUGACUAUUGGGUCAUCUUCAGUGUACGUUUUAUAGCCCAGCUAACACAUCCAUAUUUUAUAAACACUAGAAUUUCAUCCACAUAAAACUCUCUCUAGUCUAUAAAACUUUAUCAUAUCCCUCUUCAUUAAUAUAAUGUCACAUCAGUAUAUUUAAUGUUUACUAAUAAAAUCUCAUUAAGACUGGCCUCAUGGCCCAACACUGCCAACAAAUGUGGCUAGGCUUUUCUUUCCACCGACACAUUCUUAGGCUCUGUUUAGUUCCAAAAAUAAAAAAUAACUAAUUAUGUAGUUUGUCUGUAAUUUGCGAAACGGAUCUUUUGAGCCUAGGUAGUCCAUGAUUAGACAAUAAUUGUUAGAUAUAAACAAAAAUACUACAAUAGCCAAAUCUAAAAUUUUUCACCAACUAAACAAGGCCUUAGCAGUACAGAACACCAAUCAUUCCACCGACACAUUAUUAGCAGUACAGAACACCAAUCAUUUCUGUCUUCAAGUAAGGCCUUGUUUAGUUGAGGAGGUAAAAAAUUUUUGGGUAUCAUAGCACUUUCGUUUUUAUUUUGCAAUUAUUGUUCCACCAUAGACUAAUUAGGCUUAAAAGAUUCGUCUCGUAAAUUAUAGGCAAACUGUGCAAUUAGUUGUUUUUUAUCUAUAUUUAAUGUUUCAUGCAUGUGCCACAAGAUUUGAUGUGACGGGAAUUUUGAAAAGUUUUGUGUUUUUUCUUGAAAUGUGACUGGGAAUUUUUUGUAGUCUCGUCACUUACUAUCUCAAUACGCUUUCAAAAUAUUUGUAGCUGACUUUAUUUGUAUUCCACAUAGAGUCAAAUAUACAUGCCCUUCCAUCCCAACGAUAGAUUAUGAAUGCAAUCCAGUGGUCCAUGAUACCCUUGCUGCACCAUUCACACAAUAUAGAAUUGAAAUGUUCAAAUAUGACAAGUCAUAAUCCCAUGAGCUAUAUUAUAGACGAGCCCAACCUCCCGUUCCGACCCAGUGCUCUCUCCCACCGCCUAUGUGUGUGUGUGUGUGUAUAUAUAUAUAUAUAUAUAUAUAUAUAUAUAUAUAUAUAUAUAUAUAUAUAUUACAAGUAUCUUAUCGACUUACUCGAACUGGUGGGUGGCCAUGAUACACCCAUUUUCCUUGGCUUUCUUCAUGGCUUCAUAGAUAUACAAGCUUGUCCGGUACUUAUACUCGAUUUCUACAUCUACUUGGAAUUGCUUUCUCUCCUCCUUGUUCGAGUUCACUAAGUCUGGACUAAUGUCCGGUACAUCAUAACCCGCGAUGGUUCUCUCAGUAAUAAGCAUCUGAGAGAGAUAGAUAAUACUCUUGUUCAAUUCCUGGUCUGAUCUGGUAUAUAUGCAUCACUCGAAACUAGCGUUUGGUGGUGGUUCAGAAGGAGAAGGGGACUGGAGACAGGCAACCAGCAUCGCCGCUAGGGUUGAGGUGACUAGGCGUGGCAGGUAGAUGUCAUACGAUGAGAAAUGCAGGCGGCGCGUGGUGGAGGCCGGCGCGGUGGGCGGAUGGCACAGUGGAAGCACCGCCACCGCCACGGCAUGGUGGCUAAUUCCAUGGCGAGGUGUAGGCUGGCGGCGCGCUGUUGACGGGUGGCGCGAUGGAGGCCUGCAUGGUGGGCCGAUGGCACAGUAAAGGCGUUGCCCGGCGCGGUGGCUAACUACCUAUUCGUACACUCGUUGUCGUUGGGAAAAAAUGCCGUUGCGUGGAGGAAUAUAGGCCGCCCGUCAAAAGCCCACCGGGGAGGUCGCGGGCCCAGUGAGAAGGUGUGGGGAUAGUUGCAGGAGCAUCGGCAUGAAUACCGCUGAUUCUUGUUCAGUGCACUCCAGAUAUACAUUUAGGUCUUGUUUAGUUAUGAAAAGUUUUUGGUUUUAGAUAUUAUAACAUUUUUAUUUUUAUUUAAUAAUUAUUAUCUAAUUAUAAACUAACUAGGUUUAAAAGAUUCAUUUCGCGAUUUACAGGUAAACUGUGCAAUUAGUUUUUGUUUUGGUCGAUAUUUAAUGCUUCAUGCAUGUGCCACAAGAUUCAAUGUGAUGGGAAAUCUUGAAAGGUUUUUGGUUUUAGGGGUGAGGCUUAGGCCUUGUUUAGUUCCCCGGAUGAAAAGUUUUUGGAUAGACAUUUUCGUUUAUAUUUGGCAAUUAUUGUCUAAUUAUAGACUAAUUAGGCUUCAAAGAUUCGUCUCGCAAAUUAUAAGUAAACUGUACAAUUAGUUUUUUUUUAUCUAUAUUAAAUGCUUUAUGUAUGUGCCGCCAGAUUUGAUAUUAUAAAAAAUCUUGAUUUUUUUUUAAUUUUAGGUGAAUUCGCAGGAAGGACGCUAGCGGGCCCAACCAAGCCGCCGCCGACGGGACCUUGACCUGAGACAUGUACGUCCAUGGGCCCAUGAGGCCACGAGUCCAUGACUGCUUGUUGUCGCCUGUCGCUCUGUUUUGUUCACCGUGGCUGCUUAAGGGCCCGUUUAGAUUUGAGAUGAAAAUUUUUGAGUCUUACAUCGGAUGUGUCGGAAAGAUGUUGGGAGGGGUUUUUAGAAACUAAUAAAAAAACAAAUUACAUAGCUCGUUAGGAAACUGCAAGACAAAUCUAUUAAGCAUAAUUAAUCUAUCAUUAGCACAUGUGAGUUACUGUAGCACUUAAGGCUAAUCAUGGAGUAACUAGGCUUAAAAUAUUCGUCUCGUGAUUUUCAACUAAACUGUGUAAUUAGUUUAUUUUACAUUUAAUAUUCCAUGCAUAUGUCUAAAGAUUCGAUGGGAUGGAUGAAAAAAUUUUGGGUGGGGAACUAAACAGGGCCUAAACCCAUUGAUAGUCCAUUGAUCACAGCUGUGUUGUGUCUAUGUCACUGUGUGCUUGUACAGAUCACCAAGACCAGGAGCUUUGUUCGGUUCUAAAAGUUUUGUAAAAUUUUUUAAGAUUUUCUAUCAUAUCGAAUCUUUAAAUAUAUGCAUCGAGUAUUAAAUAUAAAUUAAAAAAUAAUUAUUAUACAAUUUAACUGUAAUUUAUAAAACAAAUCUUUUAAAUCUAAUUAAUCCAUAAUUAAAUAAUAAUUAUCAAAUAUAAAUAAAAGUUAAAUUUUUCACCAACUAAACAAAGCCUUAGCUGAGGGGCGGCAUGAAUCAGCUCUAUUGACUGAGCUGGUCGACGGUGUGGCCCAACCCCGGCCAGCAAGGCAGCAAUCAAGCAAAUGUGGCCAGGCUUUCCUUCCAUUUUAAUUUCACCGGCAACGGCAAAGCUCUCUUCCACCAACACAUUCGCAGCUUCCUUCAGCUGUAAAGAACACCAAUCACUUGUGUCUUCAAAUUUUAUUCGUAUGUAGAUGAAACAUCCUCUACCAUGCUGACAAAUCGGAGUACCUCGCAACACUACUCUACUCUACUAAUACUCCCUCCGUGUUUACGUAUGUACUGUGCAGCGGCUAGCUGAACGGACGUGCUCUUGGCAGUGAGCGCAGGGGUAUUUCCGUCCCCGUCAGCAGCUGCCAGUGCAGAACGACAAGUGUUGAGAAAAUGCGCACUGCACUCUUCAGCAACACAAUACUCAACGAGCCUCCUCACGUGUUGCAGUGAGGGACUUAACGAAUACAGACAGUGAGCUCAACAGUAGGUGAGAACAGUAAAUGCUCUCUCUCCCCUUAAUGGUGGUUUCACUCCCUUUAUAUAGGGCUCGCGAACCGACCUAAGACUAUUACAAAAAUGUCACGUGACGGUGGGGGAAUACUCCGGCAUAUUCUAUGUUACAGCCUACUGACUAUAAGUGAUUUAUGUAAUUUCAUACUACGAGCUCCUCACGCGCUCCUCGCCAAGGGCUUCAGCUUGUCGAACGCUUGAAUCCUUCCUUCGGCAGCUGAACCUUCGUCGCUUCUACGUCGGAGGUUCCUCGGCUUGGCCACGCCGGAGGUUCUUUGGCCCAGGUGCGCCGAAGGCUUGCCAGCUCCGUUGCGUCCUCUGUCCUUCCUUCGGCCAUCCUUCAUCGUGGGAAGAUCCGAAGGUUCCUUCCUUCUCCGCUCGCGACCUCCAUUGUCGUCUUAGUCCAUGCAUUUGCUCAGUAUUACAAGAGAUACAUUAGCAUUAGUUUUGCCCAGAUCCUCCGCACUGUUGUAUUCGAAGGUUUCCAGGGCAAAGGUUAUGUCCGGAGGAAAUCCUCCGGAGCAGCCAGGCGGAGGAAGGUGGCGUCCAGCCCCCAACAACAAGUUUUGCAAAAUCGACACAACUUUUUUAGGCAUAGAGGGAGUAAGUAUUAAUAUUUUUAAAUAUAUAUUUAAUCAAAGUUAUUUAUCGGGAACCGAGAACAACAAUUAUUUUGGAACGGAGAGAGUAUGUUUUAAAAUCUCAAAAGCUAGUGAAAGUGUGUUGGGAAUCUUUUUAUCCACAUUCUCGGAAUUCCUUAGAUUUCAAACGGCACCUACUACGUACUACUUCCAGUACGAUUCUUAAAGACCAACUGGGUGGACUCAAUUAUUGUAAAUGGCGCGCAGCUGCGCCUGGUUCGCCUGGUUCUGGUUCAGUGCACACGGCUGAUGAUACAUGCAUGGUAAGAUCUGUGUUACAUCAAAAAAUUUUAAAAUUUUAACAUUGUAGUACUUUCAUUUAUAUUUAAUAAUUAUUGUUUAACUAUAGACUAACUAGGUCUAAAAGAUUCAUCUCGCAAAUUACAGACAAAUAGUGUAAUUAGUUUUUUAUUUAUAUUUAAUAUGUUAUAUAUGUAUCGCAAAAUUUGAUGUGACGAAGAAUGUUGAAAAAAAAUUUAGAUUUUAGGAUGAACUAUGUGCACUAAAGUAGUUGGCACCGUACAUAACAUUGGACAAUCAAAUAAAUUGGCACAGUAAUGAUGGCCAUGGUCAUGGCCCCAACCAAAGCCGGCGACGGGGAUGGGGACGGCGACAACCUUGACUUUAGCCGUAUGCAUUCAGCAGUAUUACGUAACAAUUUGCUUGUCAUAUAAACUGUAUUUUUUUUCUAUAUUUUCAGUCAUCAUUAUUUAGACCAGCGAACAGGCUCAUAGAAAAUGAUCAUAUCAUACGCACGGAUGUACAUGCAUCACCCAACAUGAGAGCCUUUUUUUAAGAAUGAAUUGAACACGCGAAUUGAUCGUCUCUCUUCAACAAUAAACAAGAUUAAGAGAGUAGGAGACUGAAUUACUCUACGAUAAUCAGUGGCGGAGCUAGAGCAACUACAAAGGGGGUGCGCUUACCUUAUGGGUGCGUAUAAUUUUACUAUGUGGGUGCGAAUAUGGUGAAAAUUUAACUAUAAUCAGUGUUUUUUUAUAUAUUUGUGAGUGCGGCCGCACCCAGUACGGUCUAUAUAGAUCCGCCCAUGACGAUAAUAUGUUGUACUAAUAUACAAAUUAUAUACUAACAAUAGAGAUGAAAACGGUACGGAUAUUUUCUCACCAUAUUCGAGACCGAAUUCGUUUAGAGGGGUUCAGAUCUGUCCGUAUUCGAGUCCGAAUAUUCAACAUCCGAUACCGUAUUCGUAUCCGAAUACUUAAAUCGUAUAUUUAUGAUGUCGACAUCUAAUCCUAUCUUAUGCGAUAUGGUUGACAUUAUCCGUAUUCGAAUCCGAAUCCGACCAAAAAUAUAAAAACAAAUAUAAUAUUGGUCAUAUCAGUCCGUAUCCGAUCCGUUUUCAUCUCGAGCAUCAUUUCUCAAGCACUGAGGUGGUGACCACUGAGGUACCCACGGAUACAGAGAAGGGGAGUACGUAGAUUUUUUUUUUUUUGAGAGGAAGAUAGGAUAUAUAUUAUCACUUUGAAGUGUUUACAAUUUACAUAAAUAGAUACAGGAGGGGACUCAAACCAUAUAUAUCUUCCAGAAUCAAAAGUACAUACGAACUUUGCAAUCAUAUGAGCCUCCCUAUUGAACAUCCUACCUUCAUGUGCAAACUGCACAUAAUUAAAAGACUUUGAUCUUUUAUAGAUGUCUUGAAGAAUCAUCAUAUAAGGACAUCGAGGCAUCUCCCUGAUGUUUUUUAUAACAUUAAGACAAUCUGAAGCAACAAUGAAACUCUUGAUUCGACAAUCUUCAGCAAGAGCGAGAGCCUCUAAACAAGCCAUUGCUUCUAGUGUUUCCGGAUCAAUUAUAUAUGGUAUCACCAUAGCGCUUGCAGCAAUAAAUUCUCCCUGAUCAGUACGGCAUACAGCUGCCACUACACCUUUUGUUCCUGAUCGGUCAAUAGCAGCAUCUGUAUUAAUCUUGUUGAUACCAUUUUGAGGAGAUAUUAAUUUUGGAGUUGUUGACUUGUUUUGAUAGUGAUCUUUCUCCUUGAAAUCAAUUUCUUGAACAAAUUCAAAUUCUUCUAUCAAGCGAUUAGUCAUCAUCAUAAUAGAGAGAGGACUUUGGAAGAUCCUGUCAUGAAUAGCCUUUCUCCUAGCAUACCAGAUGGCCCAACAAGUAACCAAGAUGCGAACACCAUCAGCUUUUGGAAUAUUGCAGCAUAUAUAUGAAAUCCAAUGCUUUGGGUCAGAGAAGUGUAAUGAAGCUAAUAAAUCCAACAAAUCUUCAUCCAUUAGUACCCACACACACUUUGAUAUAUUACAUUGUAGCAACGAAUGAAUCCAAGUAUCUUCUUCUGCCCCACAAAUCUUGCAAUUCGUUGUAGCUGCAAGGUUCUUGUUCUUCAAAAUAGUACCAGUAGGUAAAGAGUUAUGUGCCAAACGCCAACAAAAAACUUUGAUUUUUGAUGGUAUCUUCAUACUCCAAAGAUGUUUCCAUUCAUUCUGAAUUCUUUGGACAUUAGAACAAUUGCCUCGACUUUCAAGGUAGUCCUCUCUAUUUUUCUUUGUUUCAAUCAACAUCCUGUAUGCAGAACGAACAGUGAACAAGCCAUUUCUUUCAUGAUGCCAUGCCCAACAAUCUUCUUGUUUUCUCAUGCUGAGAGGAAUUUUAAGGAUUACAUCACUGUCAAAUUCAAAGAAACAACUCCUUACCAAAUCAGCUUUCCAUCUCAUAGAAGUGUGAUCAAUCAGUUCACUUACUAGAGUUGGAGGCUGAGGAACUUUGGAGGCUAUAGGUCUGAACAUCCCAGUUCUUGGUAUCCAAUUGGAAGCCCAAAUAAGAGUGCUUUCACCAUCUCCGAUACGCUUAAUCAAUCCUUGUUUCAACACAUCAAUCCCAUCACAUAUAGCUCUCCAUGUCUUAGAUGGAUUGGAACCAGUAUAUGCACUAAGAAGAUCACCUGAGGGGAAAUAGAUAGCCCUUAAUAAUUGUGAGCAUAUAGAUUGAGGAUUAACAAGAAUGCGCCAGGCUUGCCGAGCUAACAGGGCUAAAUUGAAAAUUUCUAAAUCUCUAAAUCCAAUUCCCCCCAUAUACUUAGGUUGGACCAACUUCUCCCAUGCUAUCCAAUUUGUUUUUCUUUUGCCUCUAUCACAUCCCCACCAAAAUUUUCGCAACAGAGAAUUUAAAUGAUCAUAUAAACCUUUUGGCAAUCUGAAACACCCCAUGGUAUAGGUAGGAAUUGCUUGGGCAACAGCUUUGAUUAAAACUUCCUUCCCUCCAGCAGACAAAGUUUGUUCUAUCCAACCUUGAACUUUAUUCCAAACUCUAUCCUUAAGAUACUGGAAAGCCCCAAUUGUUGAUCUUCCUACUUCAGUAGGAAGACCCAAAUACUUUUCAUUUAAGGAUUCAUUUCCAUAUGAAGUAUAGAUUUAAUUUCAUUACGGGUGAUUUUGCCUACAACCCUUGCUAAAAAAUAUAGAAGAUUUUGCUAGAUUUACCUUUUGACCCGAGGCAUUGCAAUAUUUUGAUAUAUAAUCUUGCACCAUUCUUGCUUCACUUGUUGUAGCCUUAAAAAAUAGAAGACUGUCAUCAGCAAACAGAAGAUGAUUGAUUUUUGGAGCUGUUUGCACAAUCUGAAUUCCUUGUACACCAUUUUCACCUUUUAGCAUACUCGAAAAACCUUCAACACAUAACAAGAAUAAAUAGGGUGAAAUUGGGUCUCCUUGUCUUAUUCCUCUUGUUGGUUUAAAUUCUUGCAGCUGCUCUCCAUUGAACAAGACUGAAAAAGAAACAGAUGUAACACAUUUCAUAACUUUAUCAACCCAAGAUCGAGCAAAACCCAAUUUUAGCAUUAUAGCUUCUAAAUAGUUCCAUUCAACUCUAUCAUAGGCCUUUGUCAUGUCUAAUUUUAGAGCACAAUGAGCAUUAUUUUUUGAUCGGCUUGUACGCAUAAAAUGCAAAUGGAGACAGAGGGUGAGGAAACAGCGUUGUCAAGUUUCAGCGUGGGCUGUCUUGUCCAUCACGGGGGUCACACUCACAGCGAGGCCCAAGCCCAACCGCCCAAGCCAGACAGGAAUCUCCCGCAGGGCCCUCAUGCUAGUUUCCGAAGACGUGGGCUCGAUCCGUUACGAAGAAACGGGUCAGGACACGAUGAAAUCUUAAUCCAGCCCAAUACAUAUCCAUCCAGUAGUAUAACGCUGCGGCAUCGGAGGCAGCGUGAUUCGACCGGCGCAUUUUCUUUUUUUUUUCUUUUUUUUUUUACGCAGAACCGGCGCGUGUAUAGUUGCAAAACCUUGUAGAAAAUUUAGCAAAAUCUUGCAACCAGUCAUAUAUGAGGCCGACAAAAAACCUUCGACUGACUAGUCAUUCGACAAGCAAGCUCUUAAAUAAACAAAUUAACUUUCGAUGGACAAAUUAAAGUGGCCUCAUUAGUAUUGCUGCUUGGUCUCGAGAGGAACAAAAGCAUUUUUUGUUUCCCCUGCUGCAACCUCUUUUUUGAGGAAUCUGGAGGGACCAAAGUUCCUACAUUGAAUUUAUUAAAAGAACAGGAGUUUAUAACAAGAAAAACUGACAGGGAGCAAGAGGGAGAAGAAGGGGCGAGAGAGAGUCUAAGAGAGAAAAAAAAAGAGUAAGACAGAUGAAUCCAUGAAUUAAACUGCUCUCUAGACUUGCUUUAACUCUGAAUUUGAGCAAAGAAAGCUCAUUCAGAAAAAAUCUUGUGCAGUCCUGCUGAUUUCUCUGAAUUCAUCUGAAGAUAAGGUCAUUUCUUGCAGACCGAAUUCUCCAGCACAUUAAGAUAAUUGCAUCCACAAAAAAUUAAGAGUUCAACUGAUCUUUUAUCUGCAAGGUCAGCUCAGGAAAGCUGCAUUUUAAGGUAAAAUAAUGCCAAUCAUAUCACAGCAUAAAGCAGCGAAAGGACAUUCAACAAAGAUAUGCUCAACCGUUUCUUAUGUCAGGAGGUUAUACAAAGCACAAUUAGGCUCUGUUUGACACGGCUCCACUUCACUAAGGAAGCCAUUUUUUCGGGCUUCAGCUCUGAAGCCGUUUUGGUAAAUCAUUUAGCAAAAAUAGUUAUACAUAUAGAGUUUCUUAAAAUAUAUUCUCACACGAUGUCAUAUAGGAUAAGG
rnacentral:lncRNA from 1 species